UAUAGUUAUUAAUCUUAUGCUUUCAAUUAUACAAUUUUUUUAUUAUGAUUACAACAAAAAAUCAUAUUAAAAUCGGUGAACAUGAAUAUAAUAUACCAUUUAAUACUAAAAAAAUUAAUAACAUUAUUAUUACUCAAAUCAAAAAUUACAACGGAUAGAAAACGAAUAUCAAUUAUCCGUUCGACCGACCCAAUUUGUUUCCUAGUAUAUGCAAUUAUUGAUGGUCGAAUAAAAAAGCAAAGAGUACUUGUCAAAGUAAAAAAAAAAAAAAGAGAGAAAACAAAUCCCCAAAAUGUACGCCUCUCUCGCCAUCCUUCCCUAAGAUCUUAAUUUCCUCCGCACCUUCCUUGCACAAGUUUCCCCUUUUUCCAAAAUUAACGUCGAUCAAAAUAUCCCAUCGCCUUUUUCAAAUUUCUGAAGCAGAAAAAUCCUCCCUUUCUCAGAAUCAAGCUCUCCUCCUCCUCAUCCUCCCACCGUUGAUUUCAUGGGCUUUGCUUGAUGGAUCCUCCGUCGCUUUUAUUACCUUUCUUCUACACUGCUCCUCCUCCUCCCGUGUUCCGUAAUAAUCCAAUCUCCACCAUCGCCACGAUUUUGUCUCUUCAAUCACAAUCUAUUUCCUUCGCUCCUUGAUUCCAUUACCAGCCGCCCCCUUUUUUGGGUCUGUUUGUUUUUCACGCCAACGAUCUCUGAUUCGGUCAAGAUGAGUGUGGCCAAGUCUCAGGUGUGGCAGCCUUGUAAGAAGAAGAGGUCUUGAUAUAGGACUAGAGUUUUGUUCUUAUACACGAUUAGCUGAUAGAGAAGAUAUGGCGACUCGGGGGCACGGUGGGAGUGGCAGCAGGACGCGCGUUGGGAGGUACGAGCUUGGAAGGACUCUUGGGGAAGGAACCUUCGCUAAGGUGAAGUACGCCAGGAAUAUCGAGACUGGGGAGAACGUUGCUAUCAAGAUUCUUGAUAAAGACAAAGUCCUCAAGCAUAAGAUGAUCUCUCAGGUUCAUCCUCCUAGCUAGCUUCAUUUUGUGGAUUGUUUGUUCUCCUGAUUGUUUGGUUUGAUAUUUGUUCAUUGUUAUGCUGAAUUGCUUGUUUCUUUUGAUCGAUUUUGAUUUGCUUUUGCUGAGAUUGUGGUUUGAUGAAACGCCUUGUUUGGUCAAAAGAGAAUGCAGGGAAUCGCUGAUUGCCUUUCUGUUUGCUCUUUUCUUAUGAAGUAAAAGUCAACUUUACAUGGUGCCGAUUUGUCCUAUUCUACCCACCUUGUUUUUUCUGCUCCCUACUGCUAAAAAUUGAGCCUUAUAAAUUGUUUUCAUCAAUGAUUAAGUUUCUUUGCUGUUUCAUUUCAUCACUGCAGAAUGAUGCAUGUUUUGUGGAUUCAACAAUCCCCAGCUUUGUACUUGGUCGUUCGUCAAUAUGGUGUCAGCAAUUGCUUGUUUUUUGAACCCUUAAAUCUUUUCUUGCAGAUUAAGAGAGAAAUAUCGACAAUGAAGCUUAUUCGGCACCCAAAUGUCAUCCGUAUGUUUGAGGUGAGAAGUUGAGCCGCUUUCAAUCAAAAGCAGAUUAUGUUUUCUGCAUCUUCCCAACUUGUAAUCUAUCUCAUCCUGUAAAAAAAAGAAUCAUGCUUUGUUCGCGAAUUUUUUGUUUGAUGCAUUCCAAGUUCUAGCUGGUUCUCCCAUCAUCUCUGGUCAGUAACUUAACUUGCCUCAACAAUUGUUUUGCAGGUGAUGGCAAGUAAAACCAGAAUAUACAUUGUGAUGGAAUUCGUGACUGGUGGUGAACUUUUUGACAAAAUCGUACGACCUUACAAGCUUGACACUGCCUAUUUCGAAAUUGCAUGCAGUACACGAGGUUUAAAUGCUUUUUUGUUGCUCUGUUUCUUUAAUCUAGGCUAGUAAAGGAAGGCUGAAAGAAGAUGAAGCGAGGAAGUAUUUUCAGCAGCUUAUAAAUGCUGUCGAUUAUUGCCACAGUAGAGGUGUUUACCAUAGAGACCUAAAGGUAUGCAGUCAUUUGUAUUCUUAAUUUUAAGGUAUUGUACAAUAUGCCCCUCAAGUUCAAUUAAAAAAAUCGAUUGACGGAGCUUUUACUGUAUCUUUGUCAGCCUGAGAAUCUGCUGCUAGAUACUUCUGGAUCACUUAAAGUGUCAGAUUUUGGAUUGAGUGCAUUACCUCAGCAAGUUCGUGUGAGUAAAAUUAGUUCUUGAUCAAUUGAUUAUCUGUUUCUCAAUUUCAUUCUCGUGCAUGAAGCUUAAAUUCUUUCUGAACUGAUUUCUUCUUUGUCCCGCAGGAGGAUGGGUUACUUCACACAACAUGUGGCACCCCAAAUUAUGUUGCUCCUGAGGUACAAUUGUUUCUGCAUUUAAAUUGAUCUCCUAGCUCAUUAAUGCUUUGUUCUCAUUUUCUUAUUGUGGCCUUAUCCAGGUAAUCAACAAUAAAGGCUAUGAUGGAGCCAAGGCAGAUUUAUGGUCUUGUGGUGUGAUUCUCUUUGUCUUGAUGGCUGGGUACUUGCCUUUUGAGGAUUCAAACCUUGUGCAAUUGUACAAAAAGGUAUCUUUUAUUUCCUUCCAACACUAACUAUUGGGUUCUAUAUAUGGGGGUGCUUUUGGUGAUAUAUUGUCGAUAUUCAAUCAAUUUGGCACGGCUCGGGAGAAAUCCUAACAAAUCAAGGUUUUACCUGAGAAUAUCUCCUACUGCAGAUUUUUAAAGCCGAGUUCUCAUGUCCUCCUUGGUUCUCCACUAGUGCAAAGAAAUUAAUCAAAAGAAUAUUGGAUCCCAAUCCAGCUACUGUAAGUAAUCCUUCAUUCUUCCCAACAUGUUCUUGAUGAAUUUAUAGUGAUUGCAUCAAGACUUAAUGAAUUUACUGCAUCGGCUUGUGUUAAUAUGACAGCGGAUCCCUAUUGCUGAGGUUAUUGAAAACGAGUGGUUCAAGAAAGGGUAUAAACCACCAGUUUUUGAAAAUGCUGAUGUUAGUCUCGAUGAUGUGGAUUCCAUCUUCAAUGAUUCAGCGGUAAGGUUUCUGCUCCUCACUUUAUGUAUUCAUGAUCUUAGUGUGAUGCCUUGUGGAGCUGAAAGCGGCAUUUUAAUGACAGGACUCUAGGAAUCUUGUUGUGGAAAGGAGGGAAGAUGGGCCCAUCGGUCCUGUGGCUCCUGUGACCAUGAAUGCUUUUGAAUUGAUCUCUACUUCUCAGGGUCUCAAUCUCAGUAGCUUGUUCGAGAAGCAGAUGGUAUGUUUUCUUAAUGAGCAAUCAUCGUGCAUUAGAUAUGUUUCUGUAUGUUCCUCGACUGUUAAUUAGUUGAUGGAAUGGAGCAGAAUGGAACUCACAUUUCAUUUCUCGUGAUUAGGGACUUGUUAAACGUGAAACUAGAUUCGCGUCGAAAAGGUCUGCCAAUGAGAUAAUGUCACAAAUUGAAGCAACAGCAAUGCCUUUGGGUUUCGGUGUGAAGAAGAAUAACUUCAAGGUUUGAUCUUUUACCCUAUAUAUCGUACUGAGGAACUCUAUAAAGAAGUUGGGGUAUUUUUUCAAAAUCUCAUGGCUGCUCCGUCAUGAACAUAGAUGAAGCUUCAGGGAGAGAAGACAGGGCGUAAAGGGCAUCUGUCAAUUGCAACUGAAGUAAGUUCAAUCUUACUAGAUCAAAACUUUAGCCGUAUUGUGUGUGGAUUGAGGAUUUGACAAUAUCUAUGGUUUCAGAUAUUUGAGGUCGCUCCUUCUCUUUACAUGGUUGAGCUUCGGAAGUCUGGUGGCGAUACCCUUGAAUUCCACAAGGUAUGUGAUGUUGUCUUUUUUCCUCUUGAUCCAAAUUUGGAGAAAAGAGUAGUUGGAUGACGGUAGUGAAAUGUUGAUGCAGUUUUACAAUAGCCUGUCGACGGGACUGAAGGAUAUUGUUUGGAAGACGGUGGAUGAAGAAAAGGAGGAAUAGAGUGUUAAGCUUGAAACCAAAGGUAUAUGAGCCGGUUUGGGUGAUGGGUUUGUGAUUUUAUUGUACUCGAUCUAAUCGGCUGAUGUUGUCCUCAUUAUUUUAGCAGGUGGUGUAUUAAAUAAGUGAGUAAAAUGUCCGGUGCAGCUGCUGCAGUUGUAGUUGGGAUAUUUAUCUACUGCUAUUUUUAUAUUUGGUUCAGAUUUUAUAGUGGGAUUGACAUGAAUGUUCAAUUCAAAUAGAUGGGUGGGUGUGUUGUGUAAUAUUACUGUAUCUUACAAAUAAGUAAUUAGUAUUGGACCCAACAUCACAGUAUUUAGAGGAAGUGAUGUUGGCUUUUUGUAAGUUAACUUGUUCUUUUCUUGAGCUUGUGCUGUUUAAUUCAUCUAUUGGACCAGAAAUCCUCCCGUCAAUAACCAGCAUCUUAUCUCGUUUGGCUGGUAUAUAUGAUUUGUAUUUUAAUUUAUUUAAUUUUAAUAGGAUAAAUUAUAUUUUAGUAGAGGUUGAUGUGUUAUUUUUAUUUUUNNNNNNNNNNNNNNNNNNNNNNNNNNNNNNNNNNNNNNNNNNNNNNNNNNNNNNNNNNNNNNNNNNNNNNNNNNNNNNNNNNNNNNNNNNNNNNNNNNNNNNNNNNNNNNNNNNNNNNNNNNNNNNNNNNNNNNNNNNNNNNNNNNNNNNNNNNNNNNNNNNNUUCCUGUCAUUAAAAAUAAAAAUAGUAAGUUUAUAAAAAUACUGAAUUUUUAGUUGACAUAUGUCUAGUAUCAUAAUAUAAACGUUCAAUUAUUUAGCACUUAGACCUGAUAAGAUCAUCUCCAAUGCUAAAUCUCAAAUUGCUAUAUUGGAGUCUUAUAUUUGGCACUUUGCAUUUGUCAAAAGGUGUUUUGCUCCAAUAGUGUAGUCCUAUAUUUAAGAUCGGUAGUUUUAUAAGUUUGAUCUAAUGUUGAUUUUGUCAUUUUAAUUUAAUAAUUUGAUCAUUAUUUUUAUAUAGAUAUAAUUAAUUAAUUGAAAGAAACAAUUCGAUAUAAUUUUUUUUGAAUUUGCAUAUAAAUUUUUUAAUCAAUAUGACCACAUAAAUAAAAUAAUAAAUAAUUAAAAAUUAUUGUAAUUAUAAAUGUUAAACUUUAUUUUAUAAUUACAAUAACAACCAAUUAAUAAAAGUCACAUGUAUUCAACUAAGACUUUCAUAUAUUAGAUUAUUUCUCUUUUUAGUGAAAUUUACGUGGCUAUAUUUUAUUUAUUGGGUAAAUAUAGACAUUUGUUUUCUACGGUUGUUGAUUUUGAUAUUAGAUUAUUUUUUUAAAGAAAAUGAAAUAUAUCAAGAUUGAUGUCAUUCUAUUCGAAAAAUUAUAACGAAUAACAUUUGUUAAGGUAAUAAUAUGUUUUGAGUAAACUAUAAUAAUCGGAAAAACUAAUUAAAAUGGAAAAAAAGAUGUGAGUUUUAAAUUUAAAAAAUUAAAAUAGAAAAAUAAAGAAAAUAAAUAUUUUAAAGGUGUUUGGUUGAAAAGAGAAAAUUAUAGAGAAAGUUUAAGCACUUGUCCCACAAGAAGAUCCCACAAUCAAAACCAGAAAGAAAACCAGCUUCCACUCAUCCGAAAAACCCUUAGUCUCCCCGGCCAGAUAGUACCUCCUAACCAGAAGCGCCAGAGCCACCAGCGAGAAAAUAAACAACGUAGAAAUCGACAGAAGAUUCGACAGAACGUCCAAGCUCGUAAAGAAUGCCACGAUCGAAUUCGCUACCGUCAUCACAACAGUGGCCACCAACGGAGUCCCAGUUCUGGCAUUAAUGUAAGCAAGAACAGGCGGAGCCAUGUGUAUACGGCUUAUAUGAGUGAAGUAUCGAGAUUGUGCAAUGACAUUAGCAAGAAGAACAGUCGUCAUUCCUUUCAAAGCACCGAAUGCUACUAUGUAUUUCGUCCAAUCCAUCCCUGCGGAUUUGAAUGCUAUAGAGAAAGCAGCAUCUGUAUUGAUCUGGGUGUAACUCUGCAUCAAUGUGAGGCAUGCUGCUAAAGAACAGUAAAAAAUGAUUACUACUGUCAUGUAUCCGAUCAGUCCCAGAGGAAUAUCUCGUCCUGGAUUUUUAACCUCUUCCCCGAGAGUAGCGACUCCGUCGACACCUACGUUAGGCGAAGAACAACAUUGCCGAAGCUUUCAUUACUCCACGAACUCCAAACGGAGCGAAAUUUCUGGUAAAGUUUUCAGGGUUGGCUUUUCUGAAACCGGCGACGAGGAUGAAGAGCAAGACGAGCAAGUGGAGGAUUGUGGUGAUUGAAUUGAAUAUAAUAUUUUUAAAGCCUUGGUUUUAAUUUCAAUUUAUCUGCUCUUAUUUUCUUAUGAAUGUACAUAAUAACAUAAUAUAAAUAUGUAACAUGUGAUUAUAUACUAUUUAUAAAUAGAUAUUCAUCUUAUAUUAAUAUUGAUAUAAAUAAUAAAGUUCUAUUUUCAUUUUUCUUAUAUCUCUUCCUCUUCAUUAUUUCUUUUAAUUAUCUUGUCGAUUCAUUAGUUUUAUAACGAUUAACAAAUUUUAGAAUUCUAGGUGGAUUUUAAUAUCCAUAUAUUUUAGAAAUGAAGUGAUGAGGUCGAGACUUUUAAAAGAAAGUUUAGUUUUUUUUUUGAAUAGAUAUGAUCAAAUAGUAAUUAUUGAAUAAUGAAAUGAUUCUACGAGUACAAUUUUACGUUAUUUUUUAUCCGAUUUUAUUACCAUACUCACGUUUAUGAUUGUGGGUUGAUUUUGAAAUCGGCUCGGGUAGCUAACCAAUGCUACCCGAUCAGCCCUUAUUUCUGUUUGUGUCAUCUCCAGGCCGGUCUCCCUCUCCAAAACCCUCAAACUAGGGUUUAAGAAAAUAGACCGAGGGGAAGAAAGAACACAGGGAAAGGCGCUAAAUGCUACCCGAUCAGCCCUUAUUUCUGUUUGUGUCAUCUCCAGGCCGGUCUCCCUCUCCAAAACCCUCAAACUAGGGUUUAAGAAAAUAGACCGAGGGGAAGAAAGAACACAGGGAAAGGCGCUAAUGGGGGAACCGAGAGAUGGCAACGUUCCAGUUCUGCCAUGGAUGAGGCAACCAGUUGAUGUCACUCAAUUUGAAGAAUGCCCAGUCGAUCUUCUGCCUUGCCUUGAUCACAGGUACAUAUAAUCCCCCCCUCCAGGUUGGAAUUUGCUCGGCUAAUGCAGCUCAUCUUUGUAUCUUCUUCUUUUUUAUUGCUGAAGUUUUCUACUUUCGCUUCAGGCUUAAGGAUGCGUUGCAGAAAAUCGGAUUCUCAUCAAUCUUCCCCAUACAAGUUGCCGUCUGGCAGGAGACAAUCGGUCCUGGCGCUUUCGAGCGAGAUUUGUGCAUAAACUCGCCUACAGGCAGUGGUAAAACUUUGGCCUACGCUUUACCAAUCGUGCAAGCAUUGUCGACCCGCACGGUUAAAUGUUUGCGCGCUUUGGUGGUCUUGCCCACACGUGAUUUAGCCUUGCAGGUUCAGCACCCCUUCUGUCUGUUUAUCAAUUGAUGAGAUGAUAGUUUCCUGAAGUGAUGCGCCUGUAUUCAUCAUAAUAGCUUGAAUACAUGUUGUUUAGGUGAAGGAGGUGUUUGCUGCAAUUGCACCGGCUGUAGGCUUAUCUGUUGGUCUUGCUGUGGGGCAAUCCUCAGUUGCAGAUGAAAUUUCCAAUCUUAUAAAGCGACCCAAGCUUGAGGCGGGCAUUUGCUAUGAUCCGAAUGAUCUUCCUGUCGAGUUACAAAGUUCGGUUGAUAUAUUGGUGGCAACCCCUGGGAGGCUAGUGGACCACAUUACAUCGACCAAGGGAUUUACUUUAGAGCAUCUCUGCUAUCUAGUAAGUUGCAAUUUUGGUGUGGAAAGCGUCUCUACCACUUCAAAGUCUAACUUGAUCAUCCAAUGUUUCUGUUGUUAGUUGGAAUAUAAGGCUUUAGUCUGUUCUGUUGAAGUUUCGCUAGGUUGCUGUUCAAUCUGGUUUCUACAUAGCUUUGUGGUCAUUUAACUUUAACUUGUGAUUUUACCGAUAUCGCUGUUUCAGGUGGUUGAUGAAACAGAUAGAAUGCUCAGGGAGUCUUACCAGUCUUGGCUUUCCACCGUUCUUACUCAAUCACAGUCUGCUCAAGAAAUCUAUGUGCCAUGUAUUAAUACUGUUCUUCCAAUGGCAUUUGGUCCUUUGAAAACCAUAAGAAGAUGGUAUGUCUUGUUUUUAUCUUGCAUAUUAUUUAUACCAAGUUAUCUGUUUCAUGUUCCUGUAGAAGUUGUUCUGAAUCGUACAAAGUUUAUUUCAUUUUCCAGUGGGGUUGAGAAAGGAUUUAAGGGAAAACCUUAUCCUAGGCUUGUGAAGAUGGUUUUAUCAGCCACAUUAACCCGAGAUCCUAGCAAGCUUGCUCAACUUCAUCUGCACCAUCCUUUGCUAGUGACAACUGGGAAUAAGCGCUAUCAGCUUCCGGAAAAAUUAGAAUCCUACACUUUGGUAAGCUCUUAUGUUUCUGUUGAGUUUUGGAUGUGUGAUGAAGGACCUUUUGGUCAUUAAACUUUCUUUUCUAAAACCUAGUCUGUUAUCCAUUUGACAGGUAUGCGAAUCGCAGCUGAAACCCUUGUACUUGGUUGCUAUUCUACAAACUUUAGGAAAAGAGAAAUGCAUUGUUUUCACAUCAUCAGUGGAAUCUACGCAUAGGCUUUGCACCCUCAUGAAUUUUUUUGACGAUGUGAAGCUUAAUAUCAAGGAGUAUUCUGGUCUUCAACGCCAAUCUGUGAGAAGGUACUCUUAGUAUACAAAUGACCAUUUUAAAUUCUUACUAAUUGAUCUGUAACUACACACCUACAAUCAUAUGUUUUUAAUCUGGGUUUUAGUAUUGGACAUGUAAUUUGUAACACAACUUUAUAUAAUCAUAUGGUUUUGCAGCGAGACUUUGAAUGCAUUCCGAGAAGGGAAGAUACAGGUGCUUGUUUCCUCUGAUGCAAUGACUCGUGGAAUGGAUGUUGAAGGGGUGAGGCAUGUUGUCAAUUAUGACAUGCCUUCAUAUAUUAAGACCUACAUACAUAGGGCUGGUAGGACAGCAAGAGCUGGUCAAACGGGGCGAUGCGUUACAUUGUUGAAUGAAUUUGAGGUAUGGGUUUUUCAAAAGAACGUUUAAAGCUGUUACAAUGUUAUAUGGCCUGUCUAUGUGGGGUAAAAGAGUACACUAUAGCUAAUGGUCUCUACUGUUCUUCCCUCAACCAUUAAUCUUAAUUUUCAAUGCUUUACCAAAACAUAAUCAUCUUCUCUUUUCUUAUUUUCCUUUUCUCUCAGGUCAAGCGCUUCAAUAGAAUCUUACAGAAAGCUGACAUCAAAUCUUGUCCUACCUACUCCGUACCUUCUGGCUCUAUCGAGGCACUUCAAGCAAUUUAUCAGUCAGGUAAUGCAUUGAAUCUUCUUCUGUGUUGAUAGGAGUCAUGUGAUUAUGUCUUACAAAUCACUUAUCCAUUUGUUCUUGUCUUGUUCCUGUUCACUAGCACUUGGGAAGCUAAAGGAGAAAGUUGAAUCAGAAACUCACAAGAAGCGCAAAUUUGCCCCAAAAUAUUCCAGAAGAAUCCAAUCAGAGCGACCAAACAAAAACAAGGAUUGAUCAGUAUAUUUAUACUAGUAUGGAUUCUGUCUUUCUGCUAACUGUAAGCACUUACAGGUUAGUUUCAUAGUCCUAUCUUGUACAUCAAUUACUACACAACUAGGCAUAUGCUUUUUAUAUUCUGGGAGUAGCAGUCAGUUCAUCAUACAGAUGUAGGGAAUAGUUGUAGGAUUGUGAACUUCAUUCUAAGUGCUGAGGUUAUCUAUCUAUGGCUUUCGUAUGCUACAUUCCAGAUUGCUUCAUCUUAAUGGCGUGCCGUGUAAGUUGGGGUGGGCAAUUGGUGAUGUCCUAACCCUACCGCGGUCAACUGCAGAAAAACCAAUCCGCAUUGCACACUGCAUUAUGAUUUGAUAUGCGGUUUGUGUUUUUCAAUUAUCUGUUUGCAGUUCGAUGGUUUCAUCUGCAAACUGCAAGUGAAAAACCCUUCUAUGAAAUUAAUCUUAUUAGCUCACUUCUUAAUUUUUAAGUCUUCCAUCGUCCAACUGAAAAUGUAUAUUAAUAAAAAUUACUCGUGCUAAGGUCCGAGUGUCUGACAAUUGUUGUUUCCUUUUUCUGCAUUCCCAUUAGCUGUCUUUAUCGUGCAUUAAAUAUAUCAGCCCUUCAUACAGGAAAAAAAUAGUAUCUAAAUAUGAAGAAAGUAAAGUGCAGUAUGCUUGUUUAUAACUUGUUAAUAUCAUUGAAUAAAUUAAAUUUAGAGCUAAAUCUUGAAUAAGUAGAUCCUUAACUUUGAAAAAGGCGAUAUGGUGAUGAUGCCAGUAUGUUCAGGACAGACCCAGAACAUGAAAUGUGAGAAGAUUCAACCAAGUGUAGCUGUCCAUAUCUCUCUAUCUGUUAGUGCGGUGCGAAGGAGACUAAUUAGUAUCAAAUUGUGGAAAGUUGGUGCUUAUCGUUUUCAUUAUUAUCAUCAUCAUAUUUUCAACAAACAAACAAAGAUGACCCGAGUACAGGGGAAGUGACAUUGUCCACGAUCAUCAUUUAUUGUGUUUGGGAUGACUUGGAUUUUGGACCCUAAACCCAAAUUUGUACAGAAUAAGAAAUGCAAAAGUACUAUAUACUUGAUGAAAUCUGAAUCCAUAUUCCUGAUUCCUCGUCAUAAAAUUUGAAUCUUGUCGCCCCCCUGAAUUUUAGCCAGCCUUCACAUUUGAAUUUUUAAACCUUAAACCCUAAUCUAACCUAACACUUCACCCUCUCCAAAUUUGAUUUCGUAUAUGGGUAUCGAACAUGCUCGGAACAUGUCAGAAAUGGGUAGAGCGUUCAUCCUGAAUUAGUUCCGGAUUCGGAUUGGUGGACUUGAAGCGAAGACUUUCAAGGGAAGAAAAGUAGGAUUAAAUUGCCCAACCUUGUUGAAAAACUUACCUAAAGAACUAGAACCCUUUUUGGAAAUCUCCGACGCCCACUGUUUACCUGAUUGCUCUGUUUUUUUCCCCGCGGCUGUGCUAACAUGCAAGUGUAAGACCACUUAUCCUGAAGCUGGGUCUUAACUAUUCCCUUUGAAGUUUUUUGGUAUCAAAUAAUUUAUCUAAAUACGGGCAUACUCAUUCAUUUAACCGUAUCUACGAGUUGGAUUUCUUAAACUGAAGCCAAUUUGUUCAAACGGAAUUCUUUGCUCGGAACAGAAUAAAAUGUAAUAUCACUAUAUAUAAUUUCAUGUUACAACAUGUUAUGUUAUUAUACUUAAGUUUCCGCUAUGCGUGUCCUUAUAGCUCAUUUAUCGCUGCAUUUGAAACCCAUAAUCCAAUUUCUAAAUACUGACAUGGAUCGCAUUUUACUCGCUCGAAUCUAGUAGCUAUGGUUUUAGUCGAGGAUGAGGUCAAGAUGGGAAUAAAAAAGAAAACACACUUUUAUUAUUUGAGAGCAAAAAAUGAAGAACGUAAAAACUGUCGACUUCUUUCUCUCUUGUUUCUGUCCCCACAAUCAGACAUAAUGUAAUUCAUUUUUAUUUAUUUAUAUAUAAGCCGGCAAGGAGGGGAAUCUCUCUUCACUCACCGUAACUACCUCACACUCUCCUCCUCUCUUCCUUUUUCUUCUUAAUUUCUUACAAUCGAUCAAUUCAAUACUACUACUGCUACUGCUACUUGUUGAUUAAGUGGCGGGUGAUCAAUAUAAUGGAGGGAGUGCACGCAGCGCCACCGGAUUCAUCGGCUUUCAAAGAAUGCUUCGCCCUCACUUGGAAGAACCCUUAUGUUCUCCGCCUCGCUUUCUCUGCCGGAAUUGGCGGCCUUCUCUUCGGUUACGACACCGGAGUCAUAUCCGGAGCUCUUCUCUACAUCAGAGACGACUUCAAGUCCGUCGACAGACAGACCGUUCUUCAGGUACUCUCAUUGUUUCAAACCAGAAAUUAGAUCAAUAGAGAAAUAAGAAUUGGUUGAUUUUGGUACAUCCCGACACGCGCACAUGUGCUGUCGCGUGUCUCUCGUCACUCACCCAGACUGUACUUAGGAAACGCAAAGAGCAAAACUCUUUUGUUUUUUAUUGUUUCGUUUUCCUGCAUCGAUAGUUUCCGGAGUGUUUAUCGUAUUCUUCCAUUGAUAAACUAUGGAGAAAGCUGUCACUCAGUCAAGUCAACCUAGAAAAUGAUGGAUUUUUCUUUUUUUAUUUAUAUUUUAUUAUUUCUGGCUUAGGACUGUUGUCUCCUAAUUUUAAUUUACGGAUCCAAAUUGUUUUUUUCCGGAACAAAGUAUAUAAUAAAGUACUGGAAUGCCGUAAGACAUUUGUCAAUCCCAAUUGAAGAAGACUGACUAUGAAGUGGAUAUGGAUCAUGAGUGAUGUGGGCCUGCGGGUGGGCUUUUCAAAAUAUUUGGCCCAAAACCCACUUGCCAUUCGUCAGACGUCCUGCGAUUAUGGUCUUUUCUUAAAAAAAAAAAUUUCAACUACGUAAUAAAUCCUGAAAUUAUCGGCUGGUAUACAUAUAGGUCCUUAAGCUUUUAAGUUUUAUCGAUGAAUCCUUAAACUUUAAUUCGUUAUAGAGUGGGUCCGUUUUUACCAAAUGGGUUGUCAUCUAAUGCUGCUGUUGACGACGACAUUAUUUUCCGGCCAAUUUGCCACGUCACCACUCAUGAAACGGUCAGUUAGUUGGUUGAAUCGGUGGCGGAUCCAGGAUCGAAACAUGCAAGGAGCCGGAUUUGAACCAAAAUCUAUGUAUCGAGUAAUCAAUUUACGAAUAUUUUUUUGAAACAUAAUACUAAGUUCAAAUAUACAAAAACACCUUCGUUGUGCUAUUUGUAGUUAAAGCAAGUUGUUUUUCAAGAUUGAAUGUGCCACCAGCCAUUUUUUUUCCUAAUUAAAUAAUAAUAAUGCAAAUACUGAGCCGAAAUGAUGAUUAAUAUCUAUCGAGUACUGAUAAUCCAACUGAUUGUGAAAUCUAUAUUAAAUUUAGUUUUUGAAAAUUAAUUCAACAUUUGCUUGAUUAAAUUCAAAAUGAGUACAGUGAUAACUCGUGAUAAAAAAAAAGCUAUAAUGAUCAUACUGAUGAAUAUUGUGACAAACAUAAACAGGAGAGCAUAGUGAGCAUGGCAGUGGCAGGAGCAAUUAUAGGUGCUGCAAUUGGUGGAUGGGCAAACGAUAAGUAUGGAAGGAAAAGUGCACUUAUGGCUGCUGAUUUCCUCUUCUUCAUUGGAGCUAUAAUCAUGGCCGCCUCCCCUGGCCCCGCUACCCUCAUUGUCGGUCGAGUCUUCGUAGGUCUUGGAGUCGGGAUGGCUUCAAUGACAUCCCCUCUCUACAUCUCGGAGGCAUCUCCGGCCAAAAUUCGAGGCGCUCUCGUCAGUACAAACAACUUCCUCAUCACCGGCGGCCAAUUCCUGUCUUACCUAAUCAACUUGGCCUUCACCAAGGUUCCAGGAACAUGGAGGUGGAUGCUUGGUGUUGCAGGAAUUCCAGCUCUAGUACAGUUUGCCCUCAUGAUGUUCCUUCCAGAAUCCCCCCGUUGGCUUUUCCGCAAGGUUUGCUUUUUCCCGCUUAAUACUCUAGUAUGUAAUGACCUUUCGAUUUAUUACGAGAUAUAAACGACCUUUGGACGUUAUUUUUCAUGGCAUCACCUAUGUCAAAGUAUUCAAAUUACAUCACGCUGGUAUAUUAAUCCGUUAAGUUGAAUAGGUGGCUUGAUGGUGUGAGCUUACUCAGCUCUUUUGCUGAGAUAGGUCACGCCGUCAUGCCAUCUAUACAACUUAACAGUAAAAAUUGACGGUGUGACAUAAUUUGAAUACUUUAUGAUAGAUAAUGACAUAGAAAAUAAUAUCCAAAGGUCGUGUAUAUUCUCGUAAUAAGCUGAAAUGUCGUGACAUACUAGAGUAUUAAGCCUUUUAUCAAUUCUUUUUGUCUUUAUAUCAUUGUUUGUUGUUACUUGUGUAACUAAGAUUAGAAAAUGUCACAGGGCAAAGAAGAAGAAGCCAAGACCAUCCUGAGAAGAAUAUUCCCAGCGGAAGAUGUCGAAGCUGAAAUCCAAGACCUGAAGGACUCAGUAGACAAGGAAAUCCGCGAACAGGGAAGUUCAGAGAAGAUAAAUUUCAGAAAACUGUGGCAAACAAAGACAGUCAGAAGAGGACUUAUAGCCGGUGUCGGGUUACAGGUUUUCCAGCAGUUCGUUGGGAUCAACACGGUCAUGUACUACAGUCCAACGAUAGUUCAGUUAGCGGGUUUCGCAUCAAACCAGACCGCAUUGCUUCUUUCCCUCGUCACAGCCGGACUCAAUGCCCUUGGAUCCAUUGUCAGCAUUUACUUCAUUGACAGGACUGGAAGGAAGAAGCUCCUGUUGAUUAGCUUGUUUGGUGUGGCGGUUUCGCUCGGUUUGUUGGCUGGAAUUUUCCAUCAGACCACUACUCACUCUCCCAUGGUCACUGUUGCGACCGGCCCCAAAUAUUCGAACAUGACCUGCCCGGACUACACUUCGGCGGCGAACUCAGGUUCCUGGGACUGUAUGAAGUGCCUCAAGGCUUCUCAUCCAGAUUGCGGCUUCUGCUCUUCAGCUUCCGACAAGGUGAAUAAUUUACAUAACAAGACAUUAUCACUAUUUUUGGAAGGCUAUGAUACCAUGUCAUGAACCAUUGCAUUCCAAUAACUCGAAUUUUUGGAAAAGGGUUCAAAUUGAUUUUUUUUUAUAUUAUUCGUAAACAGUUUGUUGUGCUGGAAUUUCAAUUUGAUAAAAUGUUGCUACAUGCUCUACUCUCUUGUGUUUUGUGUUGUGUUGCAGUUACUCCCCGGAGUAUGUUUGAUGUCGAACGACGAUGUGAAAGAUCUUUGCCACGGAGACAAAAGGGAAUGGUACACGAGAGGAUGCCCGAGCAAAUUCGGUUGGCUAGCACUGAUAGGCCUAGCUUUGUACAUUAUCUCGUUCUCCCCCGGAAUGGGUACAGCUCCAUGGAUUGUUAACUCAGAGAUAUACCCUUUAAGAUUUCGAGGAGUCUGCGGAGGAAUAGCAGCCACUGCUAACUGGAUAUCAAACCUCAUCGUGGCACAAACUUUCCUCUCGCUCACCGAAGCUAUCGGAACCGAUAUGACUUUCUUAUUGUUCGGAAUCGUGUCGGUGAUUGGUUUCUUCUUUGUCAUAAUAUAUGUACCUGAAACCAAGGGACUCCCCAUUGAAGAAGUAGAGAAGAUGUUGGAGAUGAGGCCUCUUCAGUACAAGUUCUGGGAGAAGAAGAGACCUGCAGCAGAAGAAACAGAUGACAAAUUAGAGAAGAAGCAAGGUGUGUGAAACUCACAAGCUAGUUGGAAUAGCAAGUAGCCAUUAUCUCCUACCUGCUUUCAAUGCUUACUACUACUACUACUACCUUUGAAGUCCAAUAUUAUGAACAAAUCAUUCAACACUGAAAACACUACAAAUUUCUAUAUGGUCUAUAUAUUGCCUUGUAUAUAAUCGAGACAAUCAUCGUGUUGUAUAGCACGCCACGACCAUAGCAUGCUUGACAAUACUCGUAGCAGUCGAUCCAGCAAUGACCAUUGCCAUAAGUAAUGAAUGGAGAAAUUAGAUGGAAUGGGGCAGAAAACAUGGAUAAUUCUUGAAGAGCUUGGAGAAAAACGUCCACUAAAAUGAUAUACCUCCGACGGUCCGCCAGAAUCCAAUGUCGUACUACUGUCUUGAAUAAUAUAAAUAGAGCGUUGAAACAGCGUGAAAUUUCAUUUCCCAAGUCACCAAAUGGAACUCAUCUACCUUCUCCUCUCAAUUAUCUCCACGUGCCUCACUUCCCUCUUCCACUCUAUCCGCCGCCUCUUUGUCUCUCCCGCUGCCAGCCACUCCCACGGCGUUUCUUUCUACCAGGGCACUGUAUGGCACCAGCGCCGCCGCCCCGUUCACCACUCAUUCCGCUAUCCUGUCCGUUACGCGCUCUUCGACCUUGACCACGCACUUCACCUCCCGCCGGACCACCUCUCCGCCGAUGAAGCUCGUCAGGCAGCUAAUACUGCCGGACCAGUGUAUAUAUUCCUUUCUUCUUCGUUUUUGUUUUUGGCUUUUGUUCUAAAACUCAAAUGAGAUUGUUUCCUCCACAUUUUAAAAAAAUUUGUGCAGUUUUCUGCUAACAAUGCCUCCCAGCCUUGGGUAUGAACAGAAUCCAUUAAGCUUAUAUUACUGCUACGAUGGAGAUGCUUCUGAUCCUACUUUGACCAAAUGUGUUGCAGAGGUUUGCUAAUUGCUAUCCUGCUUCCUGCAUCUCUAGUAUGCUGUUUUACUUGUUAGUUGGAAACCCAAAUUUCCAGCUCAACUGUUGGAAUAAUUGCCUAGUAUAUAAUUAUCACCCAGAUUGGUGGUGAUAUAGUGGCUUGUAUAUUGCCCAAUUGUGGAACCAGAGGUGACGAAACUAGGCCACUGUCCAGGGUCAUCCUGUUGUAAAGUAAAGUGACAAAAUCUUAUGUAAAAUUUAUAAAUUUGAAUUAUUUGACCAGUUUGUUUUUGAAUUUCGCCUUAAAACUUAAAAUUCCACCCUAUGAUCUUUGACCAUCAUGGUUCUGCUAUUGAUAUUGUCCAAGGCUAUCCCUCUAAUGUCAAACUACUGAUGUCGUUUCCCCUGCUUAUGAACCAAAGUGGACAUUUGAUACUUUGAACUCUUUUAGUAUUUGUGGCCUAGAAUUUGGCUAGUCUCACCUAAUAAAUUGAUUGGUUGUUGAUUCUCCUGUAGACCUGCAAUGCGUUACUGUUAACAAUCCGCCACUGCAUUUUGCACAGGUAACAAAUACACCUUGGGGUGAAAGAGUUGCAUUUGUCUUCAAUCCUAACUCUGAUUGUGUGGCUAAACCUUUGCAUGUCAGUCCUUUUAUGGUACGUUUCAGGAGUUACUCCACUUUUGUUGACUUGUCCCUUCGAAAGAGAAAUUUUUAAUAUUUGAAGCCUCUGUUGGAAAAAAUAUUCUCAGGAUAUGAUGGGGAAUUGGAAAAUCAAAGCAAGUGCUCCAGGGGAGAAUUUGACGGUCUUCAUUUCAGUUCAACACCCCGAUCAUGGAGAUUACUUCAUCGCCACGUUGGACGCCAAGAAAACUACAGUUUCAGAUAGUGAUUCUUUCUUUUGGUUGAUGCCUCACAAAGUUGCAGUCUGGAUAUAUUGGCACGUAAGUAUCUGUUCACUGGUUAACUUAUGUUUCUGGUCAAAUCGAAUCGUUGAAUGAUCAUCAACCUUGCAAUGUUCUAGAUAGUCUAAAUUCCAGCAAUGUCCAUACAAUUUGUUCUGAAUGAAUGGUUCAUAGAGAAACCUGUUUUUCAUUUUCCCUGUGCAGGCUUUGCUGCUGUGGUGGAAGAAUGUGAAGUUCAUACAGCAUCCGAGGUAUAAUGUUCCCAACUACAGGGAGGAAGCUGUGAUGCGGAAUGAAAAACAUCUUCAAUGCGGUGAAUCAGUUUCAUCUGGAUGUUUGCAAACUCAAGCACCGGCUUGCACUGCUGCUCGUUAUUUGAAAUGGAGGGAUGCUAAGUGGCCAUGGUGUUAGAAACAACAUGAUUUUUCUAUGUGGCAUUCAUUUCCUGCAAUCUUCUGUAUGUUGUUGUAAUGUUCAAGUAUAACCUAUCUUUGCGCUCUACCGGUUAAUUGACGGUGAAUGAUCCCCUACAUUUGGGCCAAAUCACAAACAUGCCCCUACCUUUCAUUUGUAACCCCAGCGUCAUUUCUAUACAUUUCCAUAACAAAAAUUCCGUUAAUUUGCUUCGUUGUUAGCUGAGUCUACUACCUGCACGGCUGCAUCAUUCGAACUGCCAAGUCUGUCUGGAGCUCUGGCAGAACUAGCAUGGCCUGCCAUUCUUGAUAAACGACAGAUGUUUAGGUACUUGAUAAUAAUUGUCUCUUGGAAGAUAUGUUCUGUGAUGCUCUUAUAGAUUCCUUUAACUAUCAGCUGUGUUUGUGGAUGCAGAGAAAUCUUUCUAGAUUUCAACCCAGUGGUUGUGUCGAAGCUGAACGAGAAGGAGUUUGUCAUGGUCGGUUUGGACCUCACCGGACGGCAGCCGGCCACGGUGAAUUCUUUUUUAGAAAUAAAAUAUGGGCAGUGCCCGUCUUCUAGAAACUAAAGCAUUGUUUUUAUUCCAUCUUGGGCGCAUGAGUGAUUCCAAUGUGAAAAAACGUCAAAAGUACAGCAAGGACCAUACAUAUAACUCAAGAAGUCCGUUCAUUUUCUUUUGAAUCCAGCCACAACGAUGAUGAUGCCCGAUCUCAAAGCCUUACCGAUGAUGUUGCCUCUUCCACAAACAGCUCUCCUUCUCGUAUUGCCUCUGACUUUGAUUUCAAUAUUGCUAUACAGUCUGAAGGUAAAGCCAAUCCUGCUUCAACGCUGUCUGAAUUCCCUCGGAAUCAGAGGCCCAUCCUACAGAUUCUUCUACGGAAACACUCUGGAAAUUCAGAAGCUAAGAAAAGCCGCCAUGGAAAAACCUGUGUCAGGUCUUUUUCAUCAAAUUCAUUACAGGUUGCAGCCUCAGUUGUCCGCCUGUUCUAACACAUACGGUGAGAUAUCUAUUUUCCUUUUGUUUCUUUUCCUCUUCGCCAAAUCUAAGUUUGUCCUGUGCUGAGUAAUGGUUCAUGGAAUAGGCCCGGAUUUCAUGUUCUGGAUCGGCAGCCGCCCUUUCUUGACUGUGUCGGAACCGGAGAUGGUGAAGCAAGUCGCGAAUGAUCGAGACAAAGCUUACAGGAAAGUACUACCAAGAGGUAUCGCGAAGCAGAUGCUCGGAGAUGGACUGGUCACGUCGGAGGGUGAAAAAUGGGCCAAGAUGAGGAAGCUCGCUAAUUUCGCCUUCUUCGGCGAGAGCUAAAGGUUGGUUUUAUCUCUACAAUCGAAACAGGAUUUUUUGCACCGACAGAUAUCCUAUGUAAAUUUUUCAAAAGUUAAGUUUUCGCCUACUGGUGUGUUUUUGAAUUUCGCCAGUAUGGCUAAACUUGAAGAGACCCCAAUUGGAUCCAAAACAAACCCAGCAAAGUGAAUGUGGAAGGCCUUUCCAUGGAUGGUCGAAUUCUACCACAAGGGCAAGUGAGGCCACACAGGCCGAAUUUAAGGUAUAUGCAAAUUGCAUAACCAGAAGUAGGAGGUUGGAGGAUCAACGAUCCAGAACAGUCAAUUAUGGCGUCAUAAUCCGAUCAGGGGAAAUGCGAAGGAAUCGAAAUUGAGAAACUCAGCACCAAUGAUAGGAAAAGGGGAAAAGGAAUGGGGUUUUACCUGGAGGAUCGAUGGAGAUCGGUAGUGAAUUCGAUGGUUGAAGAUUGCUGUUGACGAAGGUUGACGGUUGUCCGAUGGUCGGAGGCCGCUGUUGACGGCGGUUGGCGACGGUUGACGCGAGAACGCCCGUGAUAGUUUCUAUGGCUUUCUUCCCGAAGAAGACAGAAAUGAGAAAAUUUGACGACUGGUGGCUGAAUCCUGAUUCCGCUAUUGCAGCUACUGGUUACUUGUUUAUUGAUGGGAUUGUGGUGUAUUUGGUAGAAUAUGAUUCCGGCAAUGAUUGUUAGGACAGACAUGAUGCUAGAGAGGUGGAAGAGUCAUGUAGGGAAAGAGGUUGAGGUGUUUGAAGAAUUCAGGUUCUUAACAGCUGAAGUAAUUUCCAGGACUACGUUUGGGAGUAGCUACCUUGAAGGAAAGCAGCUCUUUUACAAGUUGAGUAAGCUUACCCAGCUCGGUGUUGCCAGCUUGUUCAAAAUUAGGGUUCCUGGAAUCAGGUAUUAACUUACCACCUUCACUGACUGCAACACUCUGAAAUUUUACUACUCAUGAAUGGUAAUUAGUUUACCUUUUGGCCCUAUUGAUUGCAGCAAGAUUUACAGAAGCAGUUCUGAUAUUGAAGCAAACAAGCUUGAGCAAGGAAUAAGAGCGUCUAUAUUGGGAAUGCUUCGGAAAAGAGAAGAGAUGAUCGGGAGAUGCAGAUGACUUUGGGAAUGAUUUCCUUGGAUUACUUCUGAGAGCUAAACAUGAAACUGACGAAUCAAAGCGCAUUACGGUCGAUUAUGUGGUGGAUGAGUGCAAGACGUUCUAUCUUGCUGGACAAGAAACAACCAACACUCUGUUGGCAUGGGUUAUCUUACUUCUUUCUAUCCACACAGAUUGGCAGGAGAAAGCAAGAGCCGAAGUUCUGAACCAAUUCGGGAGCCGAGCUCCUGAUGCAGAUGGGAUUGCAAGGCUCAAGAUUGUAAGCGAAAACCUUAUUUUUAUAACAUGAUUGAUUGUGCAAGCAGCGCCAAAAUGUUGAAUUUAACCCACUGAAACAAACUGUCGAAAUGGUGUUGCAGUUGAACCUGAUUAUCAACGAGACUCUGCGAUUGUACCCUCCAGCGAGCGGGGUUUCUCGAGAAGUUGUGAAAGAUGUUCAACUGGGGAAGCUGACUCUCCCUGAGAAAACAUACAUCAUCAUCGAUACAAUAUCACUUCAUCAAGACCCUAAAAUUUCGGGAAAGGAUGCACAUCUUUUUAAUCCGGAAAGGUUUUCUGAAGGAGUUGCCAAAGCCACAAAGAAUAAUCCAUCUGCGUAUCUUCCGUUUGGGAUAGGGGUGAGAGUUUGUGUGGGGUCGAGCUUUUCGGCAAAUGAAGCGAAGAUUGCACUUUCAAUGAUCCUUCAGCGUUAUACGUUUGCUCUUUCCCCAACUUACAUCCACUCUCCCACUCAAAUGAUAACAACCCGCCCGCAACAUGCCCGCAACAUGGAGUUCAGGUCAUCCUUCAUUGCCCUGCAGUAGUAGUGAUGAGGGAAUACAUAUAAUGAACUAUAACUUUCUUAAGUUUGGUGUAAGAAGGUGUGUGAUAGUAAUUAAAACAAUAUUGACAUCAAAGCUGCCCAUACCAACUGUAAGUUGAAUCAUCAGAGAUUGGGGGGAGGAGGUCGACACAAGCAGAAGAAGGAAGAAGCAGAGAUCAAUGUGAGAGUGGGGUAGAGUAUAACUAAAUCGGGUUGGUUUUGAUUUUUUUUUUAGUUGGGUUUAAGAAGUUGAGUGUGGUUAUUGCGACGCGUACGAAUAAGUAGUGAUUCAGCUAGCUAACGAAGCAAAUUAAUGGAAUUUGUGAACGGAAUUCCAUUAAUCGAUAGAUGUGUUACAUUAACGUAUGAAAAGAACCGUGAGAUUAUAAAUGAAAGCAGGAGCCUUGUUUGUAAUUUAAUUCAAAUUAGGGGACCAUUUUAAUCAGUUAGCCGUGCUAACUCGUUGCUUAUGCACUUCUUUUUCAAUUAUUUGCUUCCAAUUCAGCGGCGGAUCCAGGUUGGUUUAAUGCACUAUGUCGAAUUGUGUAAGCGAUCAAAUACACUAUGUUGUAUAUAGAGAAAAUGCACAUUGAUAAGGGCUCGGUAACACAUACGCAUGCUUUACCCCAUCCCGCAGAACAAGACUCGGGACAUGCUUCCCGAAUCCUGAACUCAUACGAGACUAUGGGUGUCCAUUACCCGCAUGAAUACGGGUUCGAGGUUAAUGUGAUAGUGGUCGUGGGUCCAAUUUGGUUCUAUUACGAUUUCCUUAGCAAUUAGGUCUGCAUUAGUGGUCGUGGGUACAAUUUGGGGAAAUGUUUAGUUUGGUUAGGUGGUUAGCGUUAGAUUAGCCUAAUCUAAAGGUCUAUAGUUAGUUUCAGACAUGAAUUUUUUUUCCAUGUUUCUCAGAACUGUGUUCUUCGAUACCGCCUGCAGGGUAAUUUUUAUAGGACUGGACUACAGCUAUAGUUAGUGGUAUUGCGCCUUGCCUUUGGUGAAGAGCAGAGGAAAAUCGACCCAAUCCUCUCCAAUGGUGUUGCUAGCCUUGGGUUCCACACACGGAAUUCUUCCACAGCCACCGUCUCGACUCCAAGCCACUUAUUCCACUUCGCCUUCUCUUCCGAAUACAGACAGCCCAUCUCUUCUUGCACGGCGAAGAGCCAUCUUCUUCGGUUCCAGUGUUGUAGUCGCAGAUUCUUUGCUUGGCUUCUUCAAUUCCGUUUCAAUCUCCCAUGGAUCUGCCGUUGCUCGUCAACUCCAACAACAACUAGAUGAAGAAGAAGAAGAAGAAGAUUAUGAAGACGAAGAAGUUGAGCAGGAAGAGAAUCGAACUGUUCGCCUGUUUGAGGUUAGCAACACCACUAAUAAUAUAUAUCCUUAGCAAAACGGAAUUCAGAGUUUAAUUUGUUUGUAUGGUGAUGUUAGGUGAUUUCUCCAUCAAUUGUUUCGAUCAAGGAUAUAGAAUUAUCGAAAAUCUCCAGCAGUAGUUCUUCUUCCAUGGAAACGACGAGUGGAGAGGAAGAGAAUGCAAAAGUUGAAGGGACAGGCUCUGGAUUCAUUUGGGAUAAAUACGGUCACAUUGUAAACAAAUAUUCAUAUUCAAAUUACUAUUCUUUUUGUGGUUUGUUUGGCUAUUCAUUAUUCAGUUUUGAUUCGAGACUGUGGCAGGUCACUAAUUAUCACGUCGUGGCUAAAUUGGCUACGGAUAUGAGCGGAUUACAGCGUUGCAAGGUCCCCAUUUCUACAGUUAGUUGUUGAUCAACCAGAUGAAGAACCAACUUAACGCCACUGAGCUGUUUUGUUUUGUUUUGAAGAUAUGCCUUGUUGAUGCUCUUGGAAACAGCUUGUAUAGGGAUGGGACGAUUGUCGGGUACGAUCCAAGUUAUGAUCUUGCAGUACUUAAGGUAAGAAAAACUCAAUGACUGUUGCAGAUGUUUUGAGUGAGUUUGGAAUAGCUAAUGAUCAUAAAUGGUGUAUUUAGGUUGAUGUUGAAGGGCAUGAUGUGAAGCCUGCGGUUGUUGGCAACUCCAAUGACUUGCGAGUAGGACAGAGCUGUUAUGCCAUUGGAAACCCAUAUGGUUAUCAGAACACUCUAACCACAGGGGUAACACUUUGAAUCAAUCCCUCUUCAUUUUUGGUGUUUAAUAGGAUUUGUCUGAUGAACGAAUAUAUAGGUAGUUAGUGGCUUAGGAAGGGAAAUUCCAUCGCCCAAUGGAGGCGCCAUUAAAGGAGCCAUUCAGACGGAUGCAGCUAUUAACGCAGGUCUGUUUUUUUAACAGCUUUAACAUUCUUUCUAUUUGGAAGACAUUCUAAUUCUUCUCUGCAACUGCAGGCAAUUCAGGUGGAGCGUUGGUUGAUUCACAUGGACGUGUCAUUGGAGUCAACACAGCAACUUUCACUAGAAAAGGCAAGUCAUUCGUCUUGUUGGAAAACUUGGUGCAUCUUCAUCAAAUCUCUUUUCUUACUUGUUCUCAUUACAGGAACUGGACAGUCAUCUGGAGUCAAUUUUGCAAUCCCGAUCGACACGGUGGUGCGGAAUGUGCCAAACCUAAUUGUUUAUGGAACCCCUUUCGUAGAUAGGUUUUGAACCCUUUGAAGAUCUUCUGUAAUGUAAACGAUCCAGUAAUUUGACCAAAGUCAAUGACGAUUUUGACGUUUCAGAUGUAGAGAAGAUGUGAAUAGCAGCUAUUAGCAUUCGUCGGAAAUGUACUGAAACUAUUUAAGCAAAAGGAAUGUAAUACUAGAGAGGCGGCUAGGAACCCAGAACAAAAUGGUCACUUUCCUCUUCUCUUGUANNNNNNNNNNNNNNNNNNNNNNNNNNNNNNNNNNNNNNNNNNNNNNNNNNNNNNNNNNNNNNNNNNNNNNNNNNNNNNNNNNNNNNNNNNNNNNNNNNNNNNNNNNNNNNNNNNNNNNNNNNNNNNNNNNNNNNNNNNNNNNNNNNNNNNNNNNNNNNNNNNNNNNNNNNNNNNNNNNNNNNNNNNNNNNNNNNNNNNNNNNNNNNNNNNNNNNNNNNNNNNNNNNNNNNNNNNNNNNNNNNNNNNNNNNNNNNNNNNNNNNNNNNNNNNNNNNNNNNNNNNNNNNNNNNNNNNNNNNNNNNNNNNNNNNNNNNNNNNNNNNNNNNNNNNNNNNNNNNNNNNNNNNNNNNNNNNNNNNNNNNNNNNNNNNNNNNNNNNNNNNNNNNNNNNNNNNNNNNNNNNNNNNNNNNNNNNNNNNNNNNNNNNNNNNNNNNNNNNNNNNNNNNNNNNNNNNNNNNNNNNNNNNNNNNNNNNNNNNNNNNNNNNNNNNNNNNNNNNNNNNNNNNNNNNNNNNNNNNNNNNNNNNNNNNNNNNNNNNNNNNNNNNNNNNNNNNNNNNNNNNNNNNNNNNNNNNNNNNNNNNNNNNNNNNNNNNNNNNNNNNNNNNNNNNNNNNNNNNNNNNNNNNNNNNNNNNNNNNNNNNNNNNNNNNNNNNNNNNNNNNNNNNNNNNNNNNNNNNNNNNNNNNNNNNNNNNNNNNNNNNNNNNNNNNNNNNNNNNNNNNNNNNNNNNNNNNNNNNNNNNNNNNNNNNNNNNNNNNNNNNNNNNNNNNNNNNNNNNNNNNNNNNNNNNNNNNNNNNNNNNNNNNNNNNNNNNNNNNNNNNNNNNNNNNNNNNNNNNNNNNNNNNNNNNNNNNNNNNNNNNNNNNNNNNNNNNNNNNNNNNNNNNNNNNNNNNNNNNNNNNNNNNNNNNNNNNNNNNNNNNNNNNNNNNNNNNNNNNNNNNNNNNNNNNNNNNNNNNNNNNNNNNNNNNNNNNNNNNNNNNNNNNNNNNNNNNNNNNNNNNNNNNNNNNNNNNNNNNNNNNNNNNNNNNNNNNNNNNNNNNNNNNNNNNNNNNNNNNNNNNNNNNNNNNNNNNNNNNNNNNNNNNNNNNNNNNNNNNNNNNNNNNNNNNNNNNNNNNNNNNNNNNNNNNNNNNNNNNNNNNNNNNNNNNNNNNNNNNNNNNNNNNNNNNNNNNNNNNNNNNNNNNNNNNNNNNNNNNNNNNNNNNNNNNNNNNNNNNNNNNNNNNNNNNNNNNNNNNNNNNNNNNNNNNNNNNNNNNNNNNNNNNNNNNNNNNNNNNNNNNNNNNNNNNNNNNNNNNNNNNNNNNNNNNNNNNNNNNNNNNNNNNNNNNNNNNNNNNNNNNNNNNNNNNNNNNNNNNNNNNNNNNNNNNNNNNNNNNNNNNNNNNNNNNNNNNNNNNNNNNNNNNNNNNNNNNNNNNNNNNNNNNNNNNNNNNNNNNNNNNNNNNNNNNNNNNNNNNNNNNNNNNNNNNNNNNNNNNNNNNNNNNNNNNNNNNNNNNNNNNNNNNNNNNNNNNNNNNNNNNNNNNNNNNNNNNNNNNNNNNNNNNNNNNNNNNNNNNNNNNNNNNNNNNNNNNNNNNNNNNNNNNNNNNNNNNNNNNNNNNNNNNNNNNNNNNNNNNNNNNNNNNNNNNNNNNNNNNNNNNNNNNNNNNNNNNNNNNNNNNNNNNNNNNNNNNNNNNNNNNNNNNNNNNNNNNNNNNNNNNNNNNNNNNNNNNNNNNNNNNNNNNNNNNNNNNNNNNNNNNNNNNNNNNNNNNNNNNNNNNNNNNNNNNNNNNNNNNNNNNNNNNNNNNNNNNNNNNNNNNNNNNNNNNNNNNNNNNNNNNNNNNNNNNNNNNNNNNNNNNNNNNNNNNNNNNNNNNNNNNNNNNNNNNNNNNNNNNNNNNNNNNNNNNNNNNNNNNNNNNNNNNNNNNNNNNNNNNNNNNNNNNNNNNNNNNNNNNNNNNNNNNNNNNNNNNNNNNNNNNNNNNNNNNNNNNNNNNNNNNNNNNNNNNNNNNNNNNNNNNNNNNNNNNNNNNNNNNNNNNNNNNNNNNNNNNNNNNNNNNNNNNNNNNNNNNNNNNNNNNNNNNNNNNNNNNNNNNNNNNNNNNNNNNNNNNNNNNNNNNNNNNNNNNNNNNNNNNNNNNNNNNNNNNNNNNNNNNNNNNNNNNNNNNNNNNNNNNNNNNNNNNNNNNNNNNNNNNNNNNNNNNNNNNNNNNNNNNNNNNNNNNNNNNNNNNNNNNNNNNNNNNNNNNNNNNNNNNNNNNNNNNNNNNNNNNNNNNNNNNNNNNNNNNNNNNNNNNNNNNNNNNNNNNNNNNNNNNNNNNNNNNNNNNNNNNNNNNNNNNNNNNNNNNNNNNNNNNNNNNNNNNNNNNNNNNNNNNNNNNNNNNNNNNNNNNNNNNNNNNNNNNNNNNNNNNNNNNNNNNNNNNNNNNNNNNNNNNNNNNNNNNNNNNNNNNNNNNNNNNNNNNNNNNNNNNNNNNNNNNNNNNNNNNNNNNNNNNNNNNNNNNNNNNNNNNNNNNNNNNNNNNNNNNNNNNNNNNNNNNNNNNNNNNNNNNNNNNNNNNNNNNNNNNNNNNNNNNNNNNNNNNNNNNNNNNNNNNNNNNNNNNNNNNNNNNNNNNNNNNNNNNNNNNNNNNNNNNNNNNNNNNNNNNNNNNNNNNNNNNNNNNNNNNNNNNNNNNNNNNNNNNNNNNNNNNNNNNNNNNNNNNNNNNNNNNNNNNNNNNNNNNNNNNNNNNNNNNNNNNNNNNNNNNNNNNNNNNNNNNNNNNNNNNNNNNNNNNNNNNNNNNNNNNNNNNNNNNNNNNNNNNNNNNNNNNNNNNNNNNNNNNNNNNNNNNNNNNNNNNNNNNNNNNNNNNNNNNNNNNNNNNNNNNNNNNNNNNNNNNNNNNNNNNNNNNNNNNNNNNNNNNNNNNNNNNNNNNNNNNNNNNNNNNNNNNNNNNNNNNNNNNNNNNNNNNNNNNNNNNNNNNNNNNNNNNNNNNNNNNNNNNNNNNNNNNNNNNNNNNNNNNNNNNNNNNNNNNNNNNNNNNNNNNNNNNNNNNNNNNNNNNNNNNNNNNNNNNNNNNNNNNNNNNNNNNNNNNNNNNNNNNNNNNNNNNNNNNNNNNNNNNNNNNNNNNNNNNNNNNNNNNNNNNNNNNNNNNNNNNNNNNNNNNNNNNNNNNNNNNNNNNNNNNNNNNNNNNNNNNUCACUCAAUUAGUUUAUAAAGUGCGGUUAACUAAAACUCGAUUUUCAAUGUAUUAGGUUAACGUCAAUUGGUUACGAAAUUGGUUAAAAUGCACUAAGCUAGUUAAAUUUUGAGCUCAAUCCGUAUAUGGGCUGAACUCGGGUUAGCCAUAACAGAUUUUAAAUUGAACGAUUGUGGACAUUUAAAAUCUGUUACGGUUAACCCAAGUUCAGCCCUGAUACAGAUUGAACUAAAAUAUUAACUGGUUUGGUGUAUUUUAACCAAUUUCGUUUCGUAACCAACUGAGGUUAACCUAAUGCAUCAAAAAUUAAGUUUCAGUUAACCGCACUUUAUAAACUAAUUGAGUGAUUAAAUUACAAUUACAUAAAAGUUUGAAAGUUAAAGAAAAAAACUAAUUUGGUGAAAUAAAUCUAACUUUUGAAAUGUACGAUGUAUGCUGAGUACGAUAAAAUAUGCGUCGCACUGUAAAUCUCAAUAAUCAUCAUUUUUAUAAUUCAUAUUUCAAUUUAAUUAUCUACCUAAUUUUCAAUUUAACCCUCUUUUAAAACUUUCGAUUCCAAUUGCAUCCUAACCCGAAGAGAAGAAGAUUGUCGAACACGUUGAUGAUCCAUUGAGACAACUGUGUACGUCAUUAAACCUAAUACAACGCGUCCAAGAGGCGCCUGAAUAUCACGUUCUUCGCAAAUUUGGGUAACCGAAGCCGGCGGUGAUUGUACUCUGCAUCUGCGACGCGUGUGAGCAUGCUAGCUAAAGUGACUUGGGGUGACGUGGCCAUUUGAACAGAGAAUCAUUGAAAACUCUGCUUAGCCACAUAAUAUUCGAACCUCCCCUUUCCCAUUAAGACGAAGAAAAGGCUGGCAGAGCAGAGCAGCAGACGCAAAACUGGACUUUGAUUCUUCUGUGUCUCUUCCCUGCGAGAAAGAAUAACUUAUGUGCUCUCUCUGGUAAGUUAAUUUCCUGCAACUCCCACUUUUCCUUGUUAUUCCAUCUCUGUUAUUGCUGUGUUGAUGGCUUUUUACAAGUUUUCAGUUCUUGAAUUUUAUCACUUGUCCCAGCUUUUCUUUUUCCUCCUACUUUUAGUCGGUAUGCUGUUUGCAGUUUCUAUUUUUUCCAUGCCUGAUUUAUAAAAGAAUCCAUCGUUUCUUUUUCUUGGCUUGUUCAGAUUUUCCUACUGUUCUUGGGGGGGCCGAUUGAUCGAUUCUUCCAGUAGCUGGACUAGAACAAGGGUUUCCAUUGAUUGUUGGAAGAAAGGUUUAUGCUUUACUGCAUGUGAGUCUGGUUUGGAUCAGUUGGAGUGAUCUGUUUGUAGGAGUUGGUUCAAUCUUUUCCAGUGAGUGGGGAAAUUGGUAUAGUUGAUGAGUGGUAUAGGGUUUCAAUUUAGAAGAAUUGCAGCAUUUGUAGAUUAGAUUUUUCUCUGUGUGCACAGUAAGGAAGGAAGUUAAAAAUGCACAGAGUAAGGCUUUCCUCUCAACAGGCACCAGUGCAUAAGCUAGGGGAUGCACAGAUGACACUAUCCCCAAAGUUCAGAUUAGCAGCGAUUCAAUCAUCUCUGUUGAACCCUUCACCCGAAUUCGAAAUCUCUCUCCAAACCAAGCCUCUAAUACCAGGCCUCCCCGACGACAUCGCAUUGAAUUGUCUGCUCCGGCUCCCCGUCGAAAGCCACUCUCGAUGUAGUACAGUCUGCAAGCGUUGGCAUUUACUUCUCAGUAGUAAAGAAAGGUUCUUUACUCGCAGAAAAGAACUAAACUUCAAGGACCCUUGGCUAUUCGUCUUUGCAUUCCACAAAUGUACAGGCAAGAUCCAUUGGCAGGUUCUCGAUCUCACUCACUUAUCGUGGCACACCAUUCCAGCUAUGCCCUGUAAAGACAAAGUUUGCCCUCAUGGAUUUAGGUGCGUCUCCAUGCCCCAACAAGGCAUGCUCAUGGUAUGUGGAGGGAUGGUCUCCGAUGUCGAUUGUCCUCUCGAUUUGGUUUUGAAAUAUGAGAUUCAUAAGAAUCGAUGGACUGUGAUGAACCGGAUGAACGCGGCUAGGUCUUUUUUCGGCAGUGGAGUGAUCGAUGGUACGGUAUAUAUAGCCGGGGGUAACAGUAGCGAUCUAUACGAGCUGGACUCAGCCGAAGCUUUCGAUCCUUUGAAGGGGAAUUGGCAGAGAAUUGCUAGCAUGGGGACGAAUAUGGCGGUUUACGAUGCAGCGGUUGUGGAUGGGAAGCUCCUAGUGACUGAGGGUUGGUUGUGGCCGUUCUUUGUGUCGCCUAGAGGGCAAGUUUACGAUCCGAGAAGUGGGGAAUGGGAGAAUAUGGCUGUAGGGCUGAGGGAAGGAUGGACCGGUUCGAGCGUGGUGGUGUAUGGACGGUUGUUUGUGGUUUCGGAGCUCGAGAGAAUGAAGCUUAAAGUGUAUGAUACAGAGAAUGAUUCGUGGGAGACGAUUCAAGGACUGCCAUUGCCGGAGCAGAUAUGCAAGCCGUUUGCAGUGGAUGCUUGUGACAGCAAAGUUUACGUUGUGGGCCGGAAUCUUCAUGUCGCUGUGGGAUGCAUAAAUAGGUGGAGGGUGAAGGGGAAUAGCCAUAACCAAAGGAAAUGGUGUUUCAGUGUGGAGUGGGAUGUGGUGGAUUCGCCUAAAGGGUUUUCGGACUUGACACCAUCGAGCUCGCAGGUGUUGUAUGGAUAGCAUUUUACUGUAAAAGGAUGAUGCUUUGUAAUCUAUGUUUCAUAAUAUAGCGUGGUAGUGAAAGAAAAGAUUGUUAAGAUUGUGUGAAUGGGAAGUGAUUGGUGUGUGUAUUGUCAUUAAUUUGUAUCCAUGUUCUUGUUUCUGUCCGUUUGCUAAGUUACCGGCGGCGAACGAUUCAAAUCGACCAUUCUGGAUUCAGUUGUUUUUUCUCCAGUUUUCGGGACAGCAAACAACAUGAAAUGGUUACUGGAUCUUAGUUAUCUGCAUCCUGCAAUUUUGAUUUCAAGGAUAAAUGAAUCAUCAUCCUCUGCCUACUGCCUAGUAUGAUUUUAUUGCGUCCACAUAGCCAUUUUUAACCAGAGCUGGCAAAAGUCUAACUCGAUUGGAUGAGCCUGCCUGUCUGUCCAAACCAGCUUGACUCGUGAUUCGUUUUGACUAAAAUGUCAACAAAUCCUGAUGAAUUCUUGACCCCGCACACCCUUAAACCGACGACAUUGGGACCCCGUUCAACACCGAAUGACUUGAUUGAAUAUAAUUAAAAAACCAAGUCCAAACUGAACUCCGCCACCAUUGAUGUGAGUAUGCAACGUUGUACGGAAAAUAGUUCUUGUCGGGGAAAAGAUCCUUCGACGUAGGCUCUGAAAGGAUGGAAUAAAAAAGAAAAUGGCGCCCCGACAGACAGACGGUGGAUAAAUUAAAAACGAAGGGAUUAGCUGAGGAAGGAAACCCCAAAACACAAAACCUCUCACCUGAGCAACCGUGUAGUGUAACCACAGGAAAUCCCAUUCCCAAAAUCCAACGCCACUGCUCGAUCUACAUCUGAACUCAGAAAACACCCUCUUAAACCCAAACAAGCAAAGAAAAGAAUUCCAAACUUGUGUGCGUGCCGUGCCGCUCCUUGGUUCGUUUAUAUACACAUUCGCAUCCAUUUCUUCCAAAUUCCCUUCCUCCCUCUCAAAUCCUAAAUAUCAACUUGCAAUGCAUCAACAAUCCUCUUCUCACGAAAUCUUUGUCGUCCUCGUCCUCCUUUUAUCCCUCUCCCUCUCUUCAGGUAUGUUCCCUUACAACCAUGAUCCGUUCGUAAUUACUCCCGUAGCCACGGAUACCCCUUAUAUGGCUGCUAGACAUCAUUGAUAUGGCGUUUAGGUGACAAUUGUAACAGGCACUUUCGUACCCAUGAGGAUAUGGAUACCCUUAUGUAACUGCCGACAUCAACAACGUAGCACCUACGUGCAUGGCAGCCACAUAGGAACCAUGACUAAUUUCGAUAUUUAUGUAUUAAAUGUUUUCUUUUUAUCAUCUAAUUUGUUCCUGCUUGUUUUUUCAGAUUACGGUGUCGUAAAGAGAGUAACAUCUCUCGGGAUCAACUACGGGCAAGUAGGCAACAAUCUGCCACAACCAGACAAGGUCAUGGACCUCUUGGCUUCCCUCCGAGUCACCAAGACACGAAUCUACGACACCAAUCCGCAAAUCCUGACCGCAUUCGCCAAUUCUCAAAUCGAACUAAUCGUUACGGUCGAGAACCAAAUGCUAUCCACCCUAACCGACCCACAACAAGCCUUCCAAUGGGUCACAACUCACAUCAAACCCUACUUCCCCGCUACCCGAAUCACAGGCAUUUCCGUUGGCAACGAAGUAUUCACCGCGGAGAACGACGAUACAACCUUACUAUCCAAUCUAGUCCCUGCCAUUGUCAACAUACACACAGCCUUAGUCCAGCUCGGCCUAGACCGUUACAUCCAGAUCUCAACGGCACAUUCCCUCGCCGUACUCGACCAAUCCUACCCUCCUUCUGCCGGCACAUUCAAACAAGAAGUCUCCUCCGCAAUGUCGCAAUUCCUCCAAUUCCUCUCCGUCACGAAAUCCCCCUUCUGGAUCAACGCUUACCCUUACUUUGCAUACAAGGACGAUCCAGCCACAAUUCCGUUGGAUUAUGUGCUUUUUAAUCCGAACCAAGGGAUGGUCGAUCCUUACACGGGGCUUCAUUACGACAACAUGUUGUAUGCAAUGGUUGACGCAGUCAUAUUCGCCAUGGCGAAAUUGGGCUUCGGCAGGAUAGAGGUACGGGUAUCAGAGACUGGUUGGCCGUCAAGGGGUGACGCUAAUGAGGUUGGUGCCACGGUGCAGAAUGCGGCGUCGUAUAACAAGAAUUUGUUACGGAGGCAGCUUGGUAACCAAGGGACUCCGUUGCGGCCCAGAAGAAGACUCGAGGUCUACCUGUUUGCUUUGUUUAAUGAGGAUAUGAAGCCUGGGCCCACAUCUGAGCGGAACUAUGGGCUUUAUCAGCCCGAUCUUACUAUGGUUUAUAAUGUUGGGCUUUCCGGCCCUACCGGCACUACUUCAACGGCCACAUCCACCGCCAGUGUCUCUUCCUCGCCGGCUUCGAAUUCUGUUUCAUCAGCAGCCACUAAGGUAAAUUAAUUCUGAUUAUUCUAACUAAUUAAGCCUUUGUUGAUUAAGUUUGGGUUAUUGUAAUCGAAAUACGGACGUUAAAUUGGCUAUUCUAUCAUCUAUGAUCAAAAUAUUCUCAAGUAUUCAUAAUUUUUUAUUAUAAAUAUUCUUAACAUUCGUAAAAGAAAUUAAUGGAAUACAUACAUUACACUUACAUACAGGAAGCUGAAAGGAGGUAUGAACGUAGCUUGGUGUACUGGAUGUUUGCUUAUUUGGUCUUGUCCCAAAUCCGGUAAUGACCGGAAUAGAAUAAACGUAUUAUUGGGACGUGACGAAUAAUAUGAUUGGAACCAAAUAAUUACGAGCGCGAAGAAAAUAAAUAUAUUAUCGAAGCCAAAUAGAAUAUGAUCGGAGCGUGACGAUGCCUAGCAAAGACGACCAUGUACAUUAAUCACGCACUUUCUUCAGGAAACUGGAGACAUCACCAUGGAAAGAAGACGAUGUACUUUCCUUGUUCAUGACACAAAGUUCAACAAUUCCCAGAUAACGCUUCUAUAUAUAUCUACAUGCAUGCAUGCUGAGGAUUUCAUCAAUACGACGGCGUAGUGCAGUAUCUUCAUUCGCAUUGCACGAUUUAUUUAAUAAUAUUAUAUCAUGUAUUUCUCCACCACAAGAUAACACGGCCAACGCCCCAUUACGCAUGGCGGAAGAAUGUUUCAUCAUUUACGUAGCCUGGUUGAAGAAUGUGUUUGAAACUUGUUUGUGAAAGUGCCAUGCAUAUCCAUCGGGGAAUUGAUCUGAUGUGCAAAGUUCCACGUACGUAGACCAAUUUUGGCUAGCUGACUAUGCGAAUCUAACUGCAUAUACAGUGCCAAUUUCAAACUGAUUGUUACACACGAAUAAUAUCUCUAUCCAGACUUAUUUUAAGACCUAAAUUUGAGGAAGGGUCUGCUCAUAUUGUUCUCUAAUGCUGGCAACACAGCACAAUUUAUAUAAAAUCAUUUCUGACUUCUAAAUCCAUGGCAAAAAACUAAAAUGCUUGUAAAUUGAUUAAGGCGGUUCAAUCACUUGCUCAACAGCUUCAAUGUACUGUUCCCACCACCUCCUGGCCUCCACUCUGUAAUCCAACAUCGUGCAGAUAAUUGCCUGCAUCCACAUAAUAACAAUAGUUCCAUAUACCAUCCAAUCCACUAAACCUAACUUCAGAAAAAACUGACUAGCUCUAACCUUAUAAAGAGGAAACCGACCAUCUGAUGGCAGGCGCUGAUUAUCAUUUAAACAGUUGCAUUCCAACGCUUCGACGUAUUUUCCCUGCAUAAUAAUUAAUAAACCCCCCGGCAAUGCAUCAUCAACAUUCGCAAGUUUUAAAGAUUAAUAAAAGAAAAUGGUGAAGCUUUGAGUCACCUGACACAUGAGAAUCUCCACUAAAACCAUCCCAACGUUGUAAGCAGGUUCGUUAUCAUUUCUCUUCUUAUACACGUAAUAGGCCUCCCGCAGAAAUGUCACCGCCGAUUCAGCUUGUCCCUGUGCCAUGAGCUUCACCGCAUGCAUCUAAUUUAACACAAGACACCCAUAUUUUUUCUCAGUCAAAUCCUCUGAUACUGUAAUUGAGUUUGCAGAAGAGGAUGAUGAUUACCUUGAUAGCGUUGACUUCAGCCAUGGAGGGACUAUAGGGCAACUCAAACUUCCUCUGAAAGGGUUCAGCUCUGGUGGAAGCCAUCGGUUUUGGCACGUCCAACAACGACUUUAUUGCUGCCUUGCCUCCCAGUGGAUACCCUGCAACUGCUGGAGAUUGUGGAGCCUUUUGAUACAGUUGCCUUGGUCCAGCUAUUGCUAUGUCGCCAUUCCUUCUCGUCAUAAGGAUGAUGCUAAGGCCGAUAGCACAGCCGAAAACCAAGGUAGUCUUGAAUUUCCCCUGCUUGUUUGCUUCUGCGCAUAUUAUGCAACCCGCCCUUUUCUUAAAUGCGUAAGCUGCCAGCUUGUGCGAUCUGGCGAUUGAUGGAAAUGAUGAAGAAUGAUGCCUAAUAAGGCUCCUCGUAUUGUUGAGGUUGAGAAUGCAUCGGAGGUUGUUCGUGGCUAGAGGUGCUUUGCUGCUUCUGAGACCAAGCAUCAUACGUUCCAUAUGAGACUGGAAGAUUAAUUUUGGAACACUAGAAGGUUACACUUGGAUAGUCUCUGAGGAGGAUGGAUGGAGUCGGUUCUUUUGUGCAAGGUACUGAAUAAGUUGCUUCUUUUGCCUGCAAAACCAAAGAAUCUUUUGUCGCUUGACAUAAUAAGUUGGAAUCUUGGAAAUGUGGCAAGGUAUAAGAUCUUUUGUUCAGACCUUAUUCCUACCACGACUGCUUAAGUUGAGAAAUUGAGAAUAUAAAAACCAUUUCCCACUCAAGGUAACUGGCUUAUCAUCACGAACUACCUUUUUUAUAUAAAAAAUACAAGAGUCAUUAGACCAGAGAGAAGUUUUUAUAUGAUUACAAUACAAGAGUCAAGAUGCAGAACAUACGUUGACUCUAAAUCCAUGCUACUGCACUAAAUCCAUACUGACUUGACCAAUAGAAAGGACCAUAAAGUUCCAUCAUGGAGAUGAAUGACCGAGCUGCUAAUCCAAGUUACACAACAAUAAGUGUGGGGAAUGAAUCUUCAUAGGCAAACUCAGCGAGCUUCUCUGCAAGCAUUCUUCCUGAUAAAUCCACAACACAGUCAUAAACUUGAGAAGCGAGCUUAACGAACCAGUUAACUUCAAAGAGUUGAUUUACAAGCUUCUCCAGUUAAGUUCCAGUAUGGUUUAAUUAAAACUUCCUGAUGGUUUGAUGUACAACCUAACAACAGCGCGCCUAAUUCCGAGCAUCUUAUGAGUUUGUUAUGCGUCCCUAAAAUCUGAACAGAUUAACCAACUAUUUCUGACAAGGUGAAUUCCCCAGAGCCAGUCAUCUUAGCAUAUAUCCAAUCCAAUUUCAAGAAUAUGAGCUCCAAGACGUUGUUAGGAACUAGCGGUUUGUCCUAUGAUACUUAUAGAGUUGACACACAGCGACUACUAAUCGCCUGCAUAAAUUUUGUUCUAAAAUGUUGUAAAUUCAACAAAACCAGAACGGUAAAAGCCCAUAAGCCGAGCAGUUCUUCAGGUUUACGUUUGUUAGUUCCUUAGGCUUAAGUUGGAGUACUUAAGGUGAAAAAUAAAUGAGUAUGCAGAAUAUGCAUUCAGCAAAAGGAAAACAAUAGUCUUCAGUUUUGCAAACAAAACCACAAUUGUAGGGUUUACAAGUGCACACAACUUAUGAUUGAGAGAAGGCAACUCCUACCCUGCACAGCCAUACAAUCUACAGUUCUUAGAUACGGUAGGCCACUUGUCAAUUUGCUGAAAGCAAUGAAAGUAAAACCAGGCAAAAAUAAGCUUUACUAAAUUCAUUAAUUCAAUUCAACGGGAUAUAACAUUAUAUGCUAACUCUAUCAUAUUGUUCAAAACAGUUGUGAUACAGAGUCACAUCACAAAGCCUAUCACUCGUUUCUGCAAUCAAAUCUACUAAUUCUACAAAACUGAUCCUAAUACUCCUAUGAAACUAUAAGAUAAAGUUACAGGAUAUACCCGGCAUAACUUACAGAGUAAUGGAAUAUGCCUGAAGCCGAUAUCUUAACUCAGACGAAAAUAGUUAAGCCACCGUGAUUCAAAGACUGCAGAAGAACAGAAAAGACCUGUCACAUUCACACCACCAGGGAAAGGUGUCUCAGCUUCCUGGUUGCAAACUCAAGCCCAGUCUAUCUUGCCGAUGGUCUAGCUCCAUAGAGUUUGAAAUUCUGAAUAGCGAGUAGGAGGAAAAACAAUCAUCUUUCAUGAACAUUUGUUCAAGUGACUGCUGGUUCUUCCAUAGCACACAAAAAUAAUCUGACCUUUUCUGCUCCCGUCCUGAAAAUAUCUCAUAUUUUUAUUGUCCCAAGUUCAUACACAAACUGCCGCCUACCUGAUUAGGUUUGUGUGAGGGGCUUCUAGCGAUGUGCUCCAUUUGCACCAUCAGCAUUUCCGAUAUGUGUAUAGGUUGAAUGCCCUUACAUGUGGAAAAGCGCGGGGCUCGAUUAUGAGUCACGUCAUAUAAAUAUAAGGAACUCAUACUUUCUCCCCCAAUUCUUGAUUAACAUUACUAGCUUUGUUUACCCAGUGCAACUGCUGUCUCCAUAUGCCUAGAGUCUUGUAAUCCCAGAUAAUCUCAGAUAUCUGAUCUUGAGGUAAACUCAAGCCUCGACGCUUUAUUGACAUGUGCAAGUUACAAAAGAAGUCUGGAUCUUCAAGUUUUAUAUACUCCUUCAAGAUCUGUUCAUGGUCAGGAAUCCAAUUUGUCGGAAACGGAGAAUAAUCACAAGAUGGAAUCAGGGACAUGUGUGAGAACUGAACACUUUGAAUUGCAUCAACAAGCCCCAUCCUCAAAAGAUCAGAGUAUUCAGGUGCAGAAUUAUUACUAUGCUCUGUCAGUGGCCGACUAAGAUUACGUGAAGCAAUCUUGUACACCUUAGCUCGUGAUUUAAGUCUAUACCUAGCAGCAUACAGUUUCGCUAACGAACUACGAAUUACAUAUGCACAAAAUCCAACAACCUUCUUCCUAUUAUCCGCGUACCUGUACCAGUCAGCCAUAGUCUCAAGAAACUUAUUCAUCUGGGCAUUCGUAUGAGCCUGACCUGAGUAAAGCAUUGGUGUACACGGCAAAGGCUCGGGAUCCUUAUCACCUUUAACGAACGAAAGGCGCCUAAACUGACGAAUGCAUUGCUGCAAGCUAGCUGUAACUGAGAGCAAAGUCCCCACACCCUUUUCACUCACAAUUUGUCCUCCACUAGCAGUGUAACGAAGUGUGGGGUAUAUCACCCGGCGACAGAUUAUAUGAUCAAGGAACUGAAUCCCUCUGCUUAUAUGUUGAAUCUCAACUUUGGAAUUAUCCAACCUGAUCCCAUACUUCCUAUCACAAAACUCGAUAAGUUCCUUUCUAAUCCGCACUGCUUCCUCUCUUGGCCCCCGAAUGCCGAUCAGGAAAUGACCACCAUAUCGAAUGUAAUCCAUUUUUCGCGUCUUCUCCCGGCCACUAGAAGGAACAAACUCCGGCCAAGAAGGAUUGUGACAACCGUCAUUGAUCGAAUCCUUCCAUAUGGAAUCAAGCUUAUUGGGGUUGAAGAAAGCUACCAUCAUUUCUUCCAUCUCUUUAUCCAAAUCAUUAAGGCACGCAUUUGCAAGUAAUGGACUCAAAAUCCCACAGGCACCGUACUUUGGUACCUUUGAUGCUUCCUCUGGAGCGAAAUCGUAGAAUGUUCUCAGCCAAUACGGGUCAGGUUUUGGCUCACCUUCCUUCAGCAAUCUCUUCUUAGUCGCCUUCCUUUUUUUUUUCUUCGCAUCAUCGUUGCCGCUAUUUCGAGAUUGAUGAUAGACAAUCGGUGUUCUAAGCCCGUUCUUUAGCAAAUUCAACACUUUCCUAUCCUUGACAACCUUAGCUACCGAUUCCAUCACAACACUAGGAUCCACUUGGGACAAAAUUUCACUAAUGUCACCUCUAAGAAACCAAAGAUAGCCAGCAAAAUUACUCCGGAUGGUUCUGAUUACCGUAUGAGCGUUCCUCCCAGGACGAAACGCGUGGGACUUGCUGGAGAAUCGUGCUUCAAAAAAAGGCUCCAUCACCAUAAGAAGUACCUCUUGCACAACCCUGUCCUGGAAGCAAGGGCCAGGGGAAUCAAGCAUAGCUUUGAGCUUCCUCUUAGAGAUGAGUUUGGAAUGCGGCUUCUCGUUAGGGCUCCGGAUGAGCUGGUUAGGCUUGUCGUUCCAUUUGAAGCGGCUGUGAACCACGGCAUCUCGCAAGGAAAGUAGAGAAUGGAGGGUGUAGGAGUGGAGGGCGUUGCGAGGAGGGAAAGCGCCGGUAACAUGGGCGCAGGUGCGUUGAUAAGCGAGAACCCAUAAAUCGAGCUUUGAGAGGAAGCCUGUGAGGUUAGGGAAAGUAGCGUCCGGGAGGGAAGAGAAGGAUUUCACCCAGAUUGAGCUGCAAAUUUGAACGGGAUCUUCCUUGAGGAGGGAGUAGGGAUCUUGUUGUUGAAGGGAGAGGGAGCAUAGGGAGCGGAAAGGAGGUAGGUAUCUGGAAGUUUGAGGAAAGUGUUUGAUGAUGGUCCUCGCCGACAUUAUUCUUCUCCUGCCCAAACUAACAGAGUCCACUAACAUGGACAGACUGAGUUGAGGAGGAAAAGAAAAGGAUAUUACUUCUGAUGUUGUUGAAGGGGAAGCGCCGACCAGAUGCUCGAUGAAAUGCGUUUUAAUUUUUUGAUGAUGGUCCCAGGCCUAGCACGGAAUGACGUAAACUCAGUCUCAGAUUGGACUCAACGGCGGCCCUAUCUGCUUUAUAGUUUUCGGGUCAUAGAAAGAUUAGCCUGCUGGAUAGAUACAAUACGCUGGAUGUAGCCGCAGUACUGCCCAACGGUGUUUUCAAGACCAGAAAUUUGAAAUCUAGAUUAAGAACAAUAAGACCAUAAUAUCCACACCAAAAAAUAAUAAGAUCAUAAUGUUAUUAUUGAAUAUGCACGGCCACCAUGGGCCGUUCCGUCGCUGGAAUCGAAGAUCCACUGAAUUUCCCCGAAGGCUGGAGCCUGGAGAUAGAAUUCUGACCACUUCCCCGAAUACCGUAAAUUUUUACGAUAACUAGAAACUUUUGUUCGUUGCACCUCCGAUUCAAAAACAUUUUCUACCAUCUGACCAUGUUAUCAUACACAUGUACAUGUUCUUUAUACUCGGCGUCUAUGUGCCUUCUGUACACGAGUAGAGGGUAUGUGAGUACAAGGUACAUGCAAGUACAUAGCGGUGCAUGAGCACGUUCCUGUGUACUCAUUUCGAUAAACAUACAACUUCAAAGGCGAAAUCUUCCAGUCCGCUACUUUGUACACCUCCAUGUACUCACUCUUCGCGGGCAAAUACAAAAUGUCUACCUAUGAUUGUGUAUAGGGGUAUGAACUCGAUACAAUGGUGUGUAUGAGUACUAUAAUACGUACAUAUAUAAUAGCCAUUUUUAUACAUUGCGCAUAUAGCGUAUAGUAAUACACUAUGCAACAUAAAUUUGUAAUAAAACCAAAAUCUCAUAUUUGCAUUAAUUUGAUAGUGUAUACAGACUCUGGUGCAUGCUUACACUAGUUUCAACCAACUCCGACGUUGUAGAAAAAAACUGAUCGAUCAUCGAUCCGAAUCAAAACGUAAGGGAUAUAUGUAUACAGUUCUAGUUCACAUCGUAAGAAAAAAGAGAAGUAGAUUUGCCAGUUGCAAAUCAAGGCCCAACGAGAUCGAUCGAUAUGCAGAGCAAAUUACCAAAAUCUGGGUAAAUCAAGGUUGCUGGCAGGAGGAGUAAACGACAGUGAGCUGUGUAUCUGGUUUGUCAUUAUGGCAGGCCGGUGAAGAUCCGGACGGAGGAACCAAUCCCUUCGGAAGCAUUACCGAGAAAGGCCUAGCAGUACUGGAUCCCUUCUUCGUCUUCUUCUUCUUCUUCUUGAUCGGGACAGGGGAGGAGGAACCAGACGACGCAGUCUUGAUUCUUUUCUUAUUCUUGCUGCUGUUGAUCCUGGCCCGUUGAGCAGCAGUACUAGGCUUGGUCGGACGGUGGGGGCGGCCUGCAGCUGGCGAUUGUCUGUCCAAGAAGAAGGGUGCGGUGUUCUUGAUGUGGAAAACCUGGUACUGCGCCUCCGCGGCCUCCUUGGUGGUCGGCGGCGGCGGCGUUCUGUGGUGAUGACGAUCGAUGAUGUGGCGAGGCGGGAGUGGAGUGGAUUGGUGGGCCGACUUGGGAGGAAGAGCGACGAUGGCGGAGACGAUGAGGAGGAUGAAGAAGAAGAUGAAGGCGGAGAAGAAGAGAUUGAUGAGGAUCUUGACGUUCAUUGUGGCCACCCGAUGAUGCAUGCUCGUCAUUGCGUUUGGGGGAAAGGACUUUUUUGUUUAGAGAAAUCAAGAAAUCGGCGCGGGAGAUGCGGGUUGAGAAUUUACGAGAUUGGUGAAACGGCUUGCAUUUGCUCAUCCCCAGUCAGUCAGUGUACUGCUUAAUUUUAACUAACUCGAUGUAUGUGUGUGCGCUGCUUUUGAGAAGGGGCGGAUGGUCAGUAAACGGUACGUCUACUCUUUUUUAGGGGACAGAUUGACAUCAGAAUGCGGAUUGAAAUCAACGCAGGGAGGUCCUUGAUGGCACGAAAUAGAUUUGGGCCGUUAGAUCUAAUUACUAAUUUGAUCUAAGGAUUCAGGUUGAAGGGGUAUAUAUGUAAUUUAACAUUUCCUCGCCGGACCUCAGGCGCCAGUCGUGUAUUCGUUUAUAACAAACUAUACACAAAUACAAAAAUAUGUACACCUGUUUAAACAAUUAGGGCAUCCUCAUCCAUGUGAAUGGAGGAGAUUGUAAAGUGAUGUGGGACUUAGGUGACAUUCAAUUACAAUUGAGUGGGUGAGUUGCAUGGAUGAGUAGAGUGAUUUUGGGUUGCAAAUUUUCAUAAUAUGCAAUUGCCAAAAGCAAUUGUAAAAUGGUCCCACUUUAUAUUUUAUUAGUUUAUGUUAUAUUUAAAUUGUCCAAACCAAGUAAUUAGUAUAUAUAUGAUUAAUGUAUAUAAUGUAAUUAGUGAGAAAGUCAAAUGUCAUAACUCUUUUAUUUAUUUCUACCAAAUUAAUAAUAAACUAAUAAAAAUUGAUUAAUUAUAAUACUAGAUUAGCACAUAAUGUAAUUGGUGCAGUUCGAGUAGAAUCGAUGAUCGAGCUUAUCAAUUUGUGUGUCAUCAACAUCAAGUUUCAAAUUAAAGAUCCACAAGUAUUAAAUACAUUAAAUAAGUCUACAUUACUAAAACGAAAGUAGCUAAGAUCACUGAUAAAUUGAAACACAUACAACAACUUUGAAAUAAUAUAAGGAUUUCUAAAGUAAUAAAAGGAUCCUAUGAUAAUGGAGAGAUUUUUUAAAUUGCAUGAAAUAAUGUGGUAUGAUAAUGGAGAGUAGUGAAUUGUAAAUUAAAAUAAUGUGGUAUGAUAAUGGAGAGUAGUGAAUUGUAAAUUAAAAUAAUGUGACAGUAUAUACCACUUUUGAAAAUUGAGAAGAAAAAGUGAAUAUAUGAAACUAAAAAAAAAAUAUAAAUGUUACAUUUUUAGUUACACAUAAUCCUAUUUAUAAGAGAGAAUCUUACCCUUGAAUAUAUAAUACUAUUAUAUUAUAUAUUAAAUAUCUAAUUAGGUAGGAUGACACAAUCUAAAAUUAUAUAAUUACAACAUAUUCAAAAGUAUAGAAAACGACAGUUUCUCGGAUAUAUUUGUAUGAACAAUAGAAGAUAUUAUAGUAUAUUAUAUUGGAAGUAUUAUGAUAAAUGAUGAUUAAUUUCAUGGUCAAAUCCUUUAUUUGGGGGGGGACUGAAAAGCGAGUCAAGUGACAUUUGGAUUGAAGGAGAAGGAAUGAUACAUGGCACUAUACUUUUCAUUCCUGCCAUACAAGGACACUCUCCCGCCAUUUUGUUGGCACUUCUUCUCAAUCGUUCUCUACCUAGCUAGUCCUUCGUUAUUAAACAAAAAAAAACUACCUAAUUUUCUAAUUAAUUUAUGAUGUGCAUGCAUGCAGUUGAGGUUAGGGAGGCCGUACAAACUUCCGAGCAACACAAACGUUUUCGAGAAGUAGUAUGCAAUAGCAGAUAUAACCACACCCCACAAGAAAUAGACAUCCCGACACUUGAAACCUUGGGGAAUUGGGAUGUCCAUGGCGCUUGGAAAGCUACAACCUUCACCAGUCACCCCAGGGUUUCUCUCUUCUCUCUCUCUCUCUCUCUCUCACCAGUCACCGCAGCUACGAGUGUAGGCUAAACACGUACAAUAGGACAGUUAGCGAGAGAUACCUUACGGGGACAGAUUUUGCAAUGGAACUCCCGACGAUGAAUCCACAUUACAGAGGGGUAAAGAAUCGGUACGCUUACACCCAAGUACUUGACUCAGUAGCUAGCGCUACGUCAGGAGGGAUGCGCAAAUUUGGAUCCUUGGCUAAACUCCACUUUGAAGAGAAACUAGUCGACAAUAAGGAUGAUGGGUUAGUUAGAAUUGAAGUCCACAAAUUUGAAGACAAAUACAUUUUGCUCUGGUGUAACUUUCUGUUCCUAAACAGGGCAAGAAAAGUAGCAGUACAGAGUAUUGUGGUGAUGAUGAAGAUGAUGGAUGGCUUGUCAUUUUCACUCAUAAUGAAGACACUGACAUAUCCAUGGUGUGUAUAAUCGAUGCCAAGAAGAUGGAGGAAGGUGCAGUGGCCAAAAUUAAAUUGCCAUGUAGGGUUCCUUAUGGGUUUCAUGGAGCUUUCUUCCCAGUCACAAUGGAAGAUAUGUCCAGCAUAUAUCCAGUUGAUGAUCAAGAUUAGGUCCAUUCAAUUUCAUGGUCGAUAUAUUCUAAUAUUGUACAACCCGAUUUCCUCCGUCUUGUGAUGUUUAUACUCUGUAGAAUCGCAUGGUAGGGUCACUUUUGACCACACAUACUUUUGCUAAUUAUAUUUAUAAUAGAGUGGGGUGUUAUUAGAUUUUUUAUUUUAAUUAAUCUCUUUUAUACCGUGCAAUCAAUAUUUUUUUACUCUCUGAUAUAGGAUAAUUUAAUAAUUUCUCUUUCAUACAUCUGUUGUUAAUAUCAUUAGUCAUUCGUAAUAUUUUUCUAUGUAUCAAAAUAAACAGGGAAAUUUAAUAACACAAAACACUACAAUUAGAAAACUAGUCAUUUGGGUAUCAAUAAACAAUCAACUCCUAGCUAGUUGACAAGAAAAUUAAACUCCAAAUUCAGACAAGGCUUUUGGGUAAUUUUGGAGUCGCAAUUUUCUAUAUAGUUUAAACACAAUUUUCCAGCCGGAGUUAGAGAAGGAACUUACCCGAGAAGGAGAUCGGCGAUGGAGGAGCCGAUGUGCUCGUUUUUCCGGCGGUCGAGGAGUUGUGGAGAUUAGCUAUCAUUACUCGAGAAGAAAAUUGGCGAUGGAGGAGCCGAAGCGCUUGUUUUUCCAGCGGUCGAGGAGUUGAGGAGAUUGACUAUCGUUACCCAAAAAAAUGAAGAUCGACGAUGGAAGAGCUGAGACGAUUUGCUCGUCAGUUAGUAAUCGGUGGAGCGUGUAGAUUGGAGAUCGUCGACAGUAUUUUUUAUCUAAAAAAGCUUUUGGUAGAGACUGAAGAAUGAAAAUUUGAAAAGAAAACGAUAGAGGUAGAGAAUAAAAUGAAAAUUGGGUUAAAUUAAAUUUAGGUACGAAAAUUUGAAAAGAAAAUAAUGGAGGUAUAGAAUAAAAUGGAAAUUGGGUUAAAUUAAACUUACGUUGAAAAUAUUACCAUAUCCAAUUUAAAUUCAUGAAUUUAAAUUUUUAUUCGUCCAUUAAAUCAGAUCGGAUUUUAAAUCAGAUAUUCACGUAUGGGUUAGAUGGAUAUCCGCGAAUUCCGAUAAAAAUGCCACCCCUAAACCGGGCUAGUGGCGGCAACUACAGAAGGCAAGGCUGUGCAGAGUAGUCAAAACAGAAGCUUCAAAUCUCCAUUUCAUGCCGUGUGAUAAUUAGUUUUGACUUAAAAAACAAGAAAUCCAAAACCCAGAAGUCUUCCUUCCUUGCUCUCUUCUUACAGUUGUCGCUAAGCAUUCGAUUUCCCCAAUCGAUUUGCCAUCCCCAUAGGAUCUCUUAUCGGAAUCCUGUUUGGUGAUACGUCAUCCUCGCCACCCCCUUUGCCGUAUCUAGCAUGUCGAAAUCUCUUCCCUAUUCGACUAAAGAUUUGAACUACGACAACGCCAAAUUCCGCCAACGAUCGGUCGUUAAGGUGAUCCUCGCCUGCCACUGGAUCUCGAUCUCUGCUGAAUUCUCUUGCUGAUAUAUUUUUUAUAGCAGUUUUCUGUUAUUCAUUUUCGAUGGAUUUCCGCUCAAGCUGACAAAUGGCAUUGCCUUGGUUUCGGUUUGAUAUUUUAAUUUAUGAUGGUGACGAUCUCGAUGAAUGUGAUCGAGUGGAAGUCAUUCGAUUUGGGAGAUCAUUCAAUCGCGAACUUGAUAUCACUAUCUUGGAUUGUUUAUAUGCGUGUGGUAUAUAAGAAGCUGAAGUUUGAAUCCUAACAACCAAGGAUAAAAUGUCGAGACGGCUAGAUCAAGGCAGCUGUAAACUCAAUGGAUCUUCUGCGUCCUACUUUGCCAUUUGAUCGAAUUUGAAUUUGGUCUGGUGGCAGGAUGGUUCAGCUACGAAUAUUUGAGUUGUACGUUUACUGCUUGAUGUUUGAUAACGACAGAUUUAUAAGAACCCCUCCACGUUUCUUUCUUCGUUCCUUGCUUUGUCUUGUGGCUUCAGAUGUCAUCACUAGGAGAGCUUUAUGGUGGAGUUUCAGUUCUUUUGCGUACUUCUCAUUUUCCUCAUGCUCAAUCAUAGAUUACCCCUUCUCAAGGCAGCAUUGUGCAGCUCUUUUCCCUUUUUGUUUUGGUUACUAUGUAAUGACUGCCUGUAUGGGUUUUUUCUUUAGGUGCUAACGCAGUCCUUGCUCACCAAGAACAAGAUGCGUGAUUGUGCAAGCUUCAGUACGGGGAAGUUUCUUGCAUUGUUGUUGAUCUUUGGCUUCGGAUAUCUUAUGUUAACACAUUCAAGUACUGCUCACUCUGUUUCAGUUAGACUAGCUGAUAAGUUGAGUGUUAAUGGAGAAGCUAAGAAUGUCACAGGAGAAAAUGCUCGGUUUGGGGGAAUUUGGAGGAAGCCACCAAGGCUCCCUCCUCGAUUACCACCUGAUGAGAAGGCCAGUCACAAUGACAGUUCUAGUCAUGAAGCAGCAAAGAUUAAUCUUGAUUCGGGAUGGGUGGACAGACAAAAAAAAGUAAAGGAGGCUUUUAUCUAUGCUUGGUCUGGCUACAGAAAGUAUGCGAUGGGUAUGACGAAUUGAUGCCUCUACCAUCCGUGUCUUGGGUGGUCUUUUAAGUGCAUAUCAUUUAAGUGGAGGGGAGAAGGGGGCAAACAGUAUGGGCAAGGGGCCUAACCCAGUUGUUUACUUGGAUACUGCUAAAGACUUAGCUGAUCGUCUGCUUUUGGCUUUUACUUCUAGUUCAACUCCUAUUCCCUUCAGUGAUGUUAUUCUUCAUGAUCCAUCAGCUCAUCGAGCACCUGAUGGGUUAAGUAGUACUUCAGAGGUUUCUACUUUACAGCUAGAGUUUAAUUAUCUCAGUACUCUUUCUGGUGAUCCAAAGUACAGCAUGGUAGCUAUGAAGGUGUUGGAACACAUGAAAGAUCUCCAGAAGGUGGACGGCCUUGUUCCGAUCUACUAUCUACAUAAGGUGUGGGUCUCCCUUCUUUCCUUUCUUCCUUCCUUCCUCCCUUCAUGGUCCUUAUAUGAGUUUCCUGAGUUUGGAAAAUGAUUUUUCAGAAAUUAGCUUCUUAAUAAUGCAUUGAACCAUUUCUAUCUAUCGAUGAAAGCUUUCCCUUUGUUCCUCUGAUUGAAAGUUGUGGUGAACCAAUAGGUAGGUCUCACAAAGAGAAAACAGUGUUCCAAUUGGAUAUGAAUGUUAUUCGAAGGUUAUUUCUACUAAGAGGGGAUACCAUUUUGAGUUGCCAUUUCAGUUUGACAUGGGGACUUAGAUUGAGCGUACUCUUUUGCAUGCCCUAUCAUCUAAAGAAGAGUAAAAAUAUUUUCCAACACCUUUAUAUUCUUCCAUAUAUACUAUAAAUUGUGAUAAUUUGAUUUAACAUUUCAACCUGUUGCAGUCCCGACUCUGGUCAGUUUAGUGGAGAAAAUAUCAGACUUGGAUCUCGUGGUGACAGCUAUUAUGAGUACCUUAUUAAGGUCUGGCUUCAGCAGGGGAGGAAUAGAGAUACUAAGUUUACAUAUCUUCAUGAUAUGUAUACUGAAGCAAUGAAAGGUGUAAGGCACCGACUUGUCAAGAAGUCGAUCCCAAAUGGUUUGGUGUUUGUAGGUGAACUGCCUUAUGUACCAAAUGGUGCUUUUAGUCCUAAGAUGGAUCACCUGGUAUGUGAAAUCAAAUUAUUUUAUUAUUAUGUAGUGCGAAUGUUCUUAUUCUUAUUGUGUUUUUUGCCAUUGCCUUUCUUUCUUAUUCCACUGGCUUGUUGCUCCAAGAAUGGUAAUCUUAUUUAAUAAUCUGUCAUCACAUUACAAACUGUUAUUAGUUCCCAUAGUGAGAUUUCUUAUGUGUUGUGGACGACUUCCCCUGAAUCUGAGUGAUGGAAAAGUAGUUGUCAUUUUCAAAGAAGGUAUCGUCACAGGUCUUAUAAGUCCGUUUAGUCACUGGAGAUUAACAUUUGUAUCCCUUCUGAUGGUAGAGUACCCAAUAAAGACACAUCUGUGUGCCCGGGGAUCCAAUUUUGAUAUUUGAUGGUCUGAAUGAGUGAAUGCCAUCCAGCUUAGGAACUCGUUUUCUGAUCUGCUUUGUUUUUUUAAGGUUGGUCCCAUCUGCUUUAGUGGUGCAUUGAGCUUGGCGAACUUGUCACACCAAUUCCUUAUCGUGUUCAGUUCAUUGUUAUCCUUUAGUAUUGUUGUAGCUUCACACUGUUCACUUGACAAUGAUAGAUGGACUUAUGUUUUCCUUUCAUCAGGUGUGUUUUUUACCUGGUACACUUGCCCUUGGGGCCACUAAGGGAUUUACCAAAGAGAAAGCAACGAAUGAAAAUUUGAUGACUUUUGAAGACUUUGAAAACUUAAAGCUUGCGGAAGACCUGGCAAAGACUUGCUUUGAGAUGUAUUCAGUUACUUCCACUGGUCUUGCCCCUGAAAUUGUUUAUUUCCAUACAGAGGUCAGUCGGACUUGUUGGAUAUAUUCAAUCUUCUACUGGUCACAAAAACAUAUUGAUCUUUCUGUUCUUUCAUUCUGUCGUUAUAUUCCAAUACUUUAUGAUAGUUUCAUAUUCAAAAUAUAUAUUGAUAUCUGAUUCUGAAUAAGCAGGAGUAUUCUGAAGAUGGCCUCGGUGGAGGGAACAAGAGUUCUGAGUAUAUUGACGACAUCAUCAUAAAGCCUCUAGAUCGUCAUAAUCUUUUGCGUCCAGAGACUGUUGAAUCAUUGUUUGUUUUGUACCGUAUAACAGAAGACCCAAAGUAUGUUUUUUAAUUUAGUAGCUGGGUGACCUUAUCUAUUCGAGUAAUCUGUUUCUCUCUUCAGUUUCUGACCAAUUUCUCAUCUAUUUUAGAUACCGAGAGUGGGGCUGGCAGAUUUUUGAAGCAUUUGAGAAGUAUACAAAGGUCGAUUCUGGUGGAUACAGUUCUUUGGAUGACGUAACUAACCUUCCUCCUCGAAGAAGAGACAAGAUGGAGACCUUCUUUCUGGGUGAAACUUUGAAGUACUUGUACUUGCUGUUUGGGGAUAGCUCUGUUAUCCCAUUAGACAAGUUUGUCUUUAACACAGAAGCUCAUCCUUUUCCUAUCAAAGGAAUGUGAAAGUGGCGGUUAUUUAUUUUUCAGUAUAUGAUCUCAGUGAGGCAAACACAUUGCAAGCUCAGCCCUUUUAAAUUCCCUGGUGCAUGAAUUACUUCCUUCGCAACUCACAAGGUUCAGAUGAAACUUAAUGAGUGAUUCGUUUCAGUGAUUUCAGUAACCUCCUUUAAUUGACACUCAAGUGUCUAUAGAUAGAACUUGUUUCUCCAAGUCUGUUCAUAUAUCCUCAUAUUGUGACAUCAAAGGCAACAUUGUUAUAGUUAUUGAAUCCCCUAACUUGUUUCUCUUUGGGUUUUUUUCCACCUUGAAGUAGUGAGUUAAAGUGCAACCAUCAGUGUUAAAGACUUUCAAAGUCUUGUCUCAGUGGCCAAACCCAGAUGUUCAUUUUGACAGAUUAAUGUACUCUACUGUCUUGAAAUUCAUCACAUAUCGAUCAAUUUACAAAUCUCUUUCUGGCAUCUACAUCACUAUCUUCUGAUUAUUCUAAGUGUGGCUUACGUAUUUUCCAUGUGAUUUUCAAGGAAAAUUAGAUGAUCUCCAUCUCGAAUGACAUGUAUGUCGUCUAUUUCUGCACUUUCAGCAUUGAUGACUUUUCCAAAUGUAUAGCCUCCAAAUUUCUCACCUGCAGUGUCACAAGUUGUCAACUGAGUUAUCAGAUUUAUUAUCGGUUUACUCUCUUGUAUAUUUCUUCAUUUUGGUUUGCUUUACUCAUCAGACUGGUCAGUUAAUUUGCAGAUUAUGCAGGUUUGAGCUCACAGACUCUUUUAGAGGUUAAAGAUAUCUUACCAGCAAUGUUGAGCAGCUCUUCCAAGGAAUUAGGUAGUACAAUUAAUUUCCCCGAUUGGCUGGAUGUUGUUUCAUCUUGGUGUUUCAUAUGAAUGGUGACUCUCUUCUUUGUAAAUUUUUUCUCAUCCACGUCAUAUAAAUAGCUUGAAAUGCUUGAUGUGGCAUUUGUAGUUGCCUUUGCUGAAUUGGGACAGCAAGAAUCGGCCCCGCUGUUCUCAACAUUUUUUCUGUGAACACCUUUAGUACCAGCUGCAGUUUCCUCCUCGAUGGAAUCUGUCUUAAGUGCAUUUAAUGACCUUUUAUUUUCGUAGCUUACGAAAAGAUCGUAUAUGCUUUUGUGUCCACGGUGUGCUGCGAGUUCUUUUGGAGUCCACCCUCUAUCAUCUGGAUUGUUUGCAUUUGCUCCAUCUUCAAGCAACAUCUUGACGAUUUCUGUGUGCCCCUUGGACACUGCAGCAUGCAGCGCUGUUUGUCGAUUGAGAACAUCUUCAUUAUGUCUGGUAAAUCUUUGCCCUCCUACUUUACUCUCAGAUAUACACUCUGUUGACUGCGAAUAUGCACCCCUUGUUUCCCUAACUGAUUUGUCUCCAUACGAAUAUCCUUUACGUCCUGCCAUGGAAUAACUACCUUCUUUAGGCCCUCCAUCAUUCCACUUAGCAGGGAUCAUUCCUCCAGCGUUGUUUUCGCAUUCAGAAGUUGUCCUUUCUGGCCCGCGCAAUUUCUAUUUACGAUGCAAGAAAACUAACACUUAGUUUUGGACAUAAUGAAGGUGUUACAUGAUUAGAUAUAAUACCUGUCAAGAUACUUUGUUUUGUCUCUCACCGUGAAAAGAUUCUGCAUUAUUUUAUGCUCUUCUUCUUCAUUUGUCUGAAUGGUUUUCAUCAGUGAAGUUCUGCUGAGCCGCAAUAUCUGGGAAAGCUCGGUCGUCCUAACAGUCACUGGUUGAGGCUUGUUACAUAAAACUCCCAUCUCCCCGAAUAAGUCUACUGCAGUUGCUUUUCCAAUAACCUAUUGUGUACAUGAGAGAAGCUAGAUCAAGGUUUUGUUUGUUAAGUAUUUCUAGAGGCAUAUAUGAUAUAAAAGAAGCUGUAUACUUACUUGUUCAUGCCCGUCAAUUGAGGAUAAGAAAAUCUGCAAGGUAGAAUUGCUCUUAGAAAUUACUCUUUAUGGAUUGGUAUUUGUUUGGACUAGUGUAGAUAAUCCAGGCUUUAAACUAGGCUUACCACCGUUCCAGACACCAGUAUAUAAAGGUCAGUUGGAGCUUCGUUCUGCAAUAUGAUAUCUUCUCGUGGUGGAAAAUAUUCAGCCUCCAUUUCUGAGACCUUCACAAGAUAGUUGUGAUUAAUUCUCUCCUCUUCAAUUUGGGUAAUAGAUGAUGAUAUUUGGUUGAAAAGUAGAGCAAACUAUAGCUCUUUGUUAAUGUGUCUGGGGUAGUCAGUAAGCAUGUUCUAUGUGGCGAAGAACAGAAAAAGAAAAAGGAGAAACAAUAUUAUUGAUACUAUAUUAUACCAGCUGGAAUAGGAAGUCGUGUGGAACCCCUUGGAAUAGGUAGACAUUUUGAACAAUGGGAUAGAAGAGAUAAUGUGAAAUGCUCGAGCGAAUGGCUUUUGGAAGGCCAUUCAGUGCCUCUUGUUGCUGCAGUCCUUCUGUUUUGAAUUUCAGACAUAAAUGUGAUAUCACUUGGUCCUGUAUACGGGGCGGCAACUGAUUCCGAGUGGCGAAUUCUGAAGCAGCUCUGACCAUGUCCCUCUGUGAUAUCGAGCAAAGUUCUGUGCUUAGUAUUCAUGUCAACAAAACAGCUCUUCCUUGAAGGAAAUCAUUAUCCUAUUCAAACUAGUCAAACAUAGAAUUGUAGCGCUGACGAGAAAGUACGUAUGAAAUUAUAUUAAUUAUUAUAACGUCAGGAGACUAAAUGGAGUCCUCUUAUUAUGUUUACGUUCAUCGUUUAAAUUCACCUAAGAUGUUUGCAUACUGAUUUGAAUGUUCUAUUCUCUGUUGGGUUGGAUGCAGAAAUCAUUUGCGGAGACAGGACAGAAUUCAAAGAAAGUGUACGUACAAAAUUCCUUGUCCGGCUGGUCCAAUGCACAACGAGAUUGGUCAUGUUUCCAAUCAGGUAAGACGUCAAUCCCAAGUUGAAUAGCAUGUAGAAUAUAUCAAAAAGCAUCUCUCUUGGAUUCUCAGCAUGUAAAUCUCCAUAACCAGUUGUAGUUAACGUAGUGAUAGACCAAUAAAUUGACGUAACAUAUCUGUUCCACAGAGAGUCUUCUUUGAAAUUUGGGUUUACUGCACCGAUCCAUGUUCUUCUAGGGUCAGGAUAUCUAUCUGCAAUUAGAUAGUUGAAACAUCCAGCACAAUGUACCGCAAAUAGGGUUACCUGGAAGCACCAAAAAGACGGUUGGAAAUUGAUAGGAGUGACAAACACAUGUUGUCUGAAUUUUAGAAUUCUAGGUCUUGUAAGACUUACAGAAGUAAGCUUUGUGCAACGAGUCCAGAAAUAAUUGAAGCGGAUGUCCUUCUCAAGCCUGAAGGAAAGCAAGCACGUCUAUUGCGUUACAUAUCUUAUUUCAAGUAUAAAUAAAACACAAGCCAAGGGGUUUUGUAAGACCUUGCAAACAGUGAGCUGACUCUUCUGAGACGCCAGAGACGGAGCAUGUUCAGCAAUUUGAAUCCAAGUUCACUGCUUUGAUCUCUGAACAGAAGGCUCACUGGUAGAAAUGGGGCAGUCGAACUGACAUCGAAGAUAAACCAGGUAGAUAUGUACCUGCGGAUUGGGUUAGAGGAAUCUGCUUCCAGUAAAACAAACUCGAGACGAUUUUCAUCAACCUAAAGAAACGUAUGCAAAAGCGUUUUGAAAGCCAUACUCACCUAAUUGCUAUUUUUUUAGGGUCAUCGAUGAGGAGGCAAGAUUGGCUAUCAAGAUAGGCAACAAAGAAGGUGAGAACAAUAUCAAUGGCGAAGAAACCAUUGACAAUGUUGUCAACAACAAAAAGACCGUCUUUCUUGUAAGUCAGAAAUGCAAACUGAAAUGGAGAGAUCCAUGCAGAGUAAAUGACCAGAACAACCAGCCACAUUUGCCAAGCCCUGUAAGGACAUUGUAGUUUACCCAUGAGACUAGGCACAAGAAACAAAAGGUAAAGCAGCUAAGCAAGUGACUUGUAGAAAGUGGAAUCACCUGUACCGAGGAUUGUAAGGGGAAAUAAUGCGUCUUCUGAGUUCAAUUUCCUGGUUGAUUCUGGCUCCAAGGGAUGGUACGAGAUCGUUAGAGAAGAAGCUUCCAUGGAGGACACUAUCCGUAUGAACCUCAUCCGUAAAGAAGCGUUGUACGAAGCUCUUGGCGCAAGAGAAGAACAUAUUGUUGGGUCUUGAAUUGCUAAGGGCAGUGUUAAACUCUCAAGUUUGGUGCGCAAAUGCCUGUGGUACGUACGUAUGUAUAUAGGAUAAUAUAUGUAGAAAGAGGUAGAAAGUAUGAAGCUUGAGACUCGUGAGUGAUGAAAAAGGUAGAAGAAGUCUACUUUUUCCUCCUACUCUUAAGUUGCUCUCAAUACCGUGACAUGUCUGAAAGGAUUCUGCAGGAAGCUUGUGGAAUGAAAUGAUCUUCGGUAAGGGGUGAAAAGGAAAGCUGGAACAGAGUAAAGAGGACCAGUUUUCAUCUUGUUUGAACAAGAAGGGUUAGCAGAAGACUGGGAAUAGAAGAAGAGGGAUAAUGGUCAGGAGACGCAAGGUUUUGUAUUCUUGUGAAAAUGCAAAGUGCUUGGGGGUAAGUUAAAAGUCUGGUUUGUGUUCAAGAAAGAAGUGGGGGAGGGGAAUCAAGGAGGGAAGAAGAUGGCAAUUGCCAAUGGAAAUGAUGCUUCUUUUCCUGGUGGUGGAAGGUCCAUCAUCUAAUCUAACACAUGUGGAGGUGUGAGAUACAAAAGGUUGGGUUCUGGAAGGACAGAUUUGAGUGAAAUUAAGUUGGUGUUUUCAUUUCAGGAUCCAGAACUGGACCAGACAGCUUAAAGCAAGAACAUUUGAAGAGGGAGCGCUGAAGUGUCAUGGAAGCCACGUGGACCAAUGGGUGGCUGUUUUAGAGGUUUGGCACAUUUGUGAAAUCAAGUCUUUCCCGACAGACUGACUGGUUAGUGAUUUCCUUCUCUCAUUAUUACUCAUUCCGUGAGCUCUUCUUCCUCCCUCCUCUCCUUAAUGCACAUGCUAACGUUGUUUUGUCUAAUGCAAAUGCAAAAAAUUCAAUCAUUACAGCCAUGAAUCCGUCCAAAAUUAGAUUCCAUCCAUACAUCCAUCCAUCAACCAACAUAAUGAUAUAUAAACCUUACGUCUCUCACCUAACCAAGAGACUUGCCAUUUAUCCUACUGGAGAAACUUAUUAUUAUUAUUUUCAAGUUUUUAUCUUUUUUCACCGACCACCCAUUAAUUGAUUGGCCCAUGACUUGGAUUCCUUGAUGAUCCGCCGCAUGUUCCAUUGUUAUCCGAAGCUACUGAGGUGAUAUGGAUUUGAUUUCUUUUCUUUUUUCAUUUCUUUUCGAGUUUGACUUGAUUGCUCUGGCUCUUUUGCCUUUGAUAUAUGUUUGCGUUAUUUUUAAGAUGAAAUCCUUAUGCAAGUCGGCCAACUUUCCAGGCAAACGGGAAGCCAGAAGAAGAAGCCUACAAAACUUCAAAAAGAUAGAAAGUCCGUCCGUCUAAAUGAUUAUUAUUCUACUUCAAAUGUGGAAAGAAUUGGUGGGGACUGGGGACCCCUUUGUGGGGAAAAGGGUAUCUCCUACUCCCACGAGAUUCCUCUGCUAAAAAGGGUGGCAGAUUUUAGCCACUUGAAGAGUCGGAAGAGAAUAGGGGCAGCAGGGAAAGGCAGCCAGGUCAACUGAAUUUGCUUGCACCUACCUACCAUGGCCGUAAGUAUGGUACUAAUCAACGUGAAAUUCCGUCUUAUCCGAGAAUAAUUAGGGAGGAUCAUGGAAAUCAAAGUUGACACGAUGCAGCUACUCGCAUCAUGCAUUUUUGUUAGUGAAACUUUCCCUGUGAGAAAGGAUGAAGAAUACAGUUCCUUUUCAACGUGAUUUCUAUUGAUUGCUGAAAGGUGAAAGGAAAAGGGAAGGUGGGUGAGAAAAGAGGAAGAAGAAGAAGAAGAAGAAGAAGAAGAAGAAGGUAAAUCUAAAUUAGCUUAUUAAGAAGAAUAUUUAGUGAUAAGUUGAUGGUGGUGGAUGAUGGGUUAUUUCAAGUCUUUUCCAGAGGAAGGAUCUGCCGUUUUUCUGGGGGUGGGUUCGAGUAAGGUAAAGUUUACGCAUGGGUUCGGUCGGUUGGGUCCUACGGCCUUUACUUCCCAGCCAACCAAAACCAAAAUCGGACAAAUUGUUACGCUGCCAAACGGCGUCGUCCGGACACACCAUGUGCUGGCCAGGACAGAAGAUCUAACGCUAUGUCUCGUUCGUCCUUUCUAGUUUCUUCCACCGCUUUAAAAACGUGUGUAUGUGCUUGCGGGAGAUGCAUUUUCCUUCCAGUCGUCAGUUCAUAUGAUGAGAAAGAAUCUUACCAUUCACCGUUGCAUAAGCCCUUAGCUGCUGCAGGCUUAGGCUUGGACUAGUGCUCCGGAAAUUUGGUAUGCACUCAGAAAUCUGUCCGGGCUGGGUGGUUAAAAUACGGUCAACUUGAGUAAUGGACGGGCACGGGGACGGAUCCAAUGGUGUUCGCCCCGUCUACGGAUGCCAUGGGCACCGGUGUUAAGAAUGUGGGACUCGAGAGUUUCGGGUGCUAUUUUAAAGACAGUUAAUCACACUCUAAUCAAGCGGUGGUAAUUCAUCAACAGCCCGGUGCCAUGUUAAAAAGGUGGUUUCUUAGUUUGUUUUAUUCUUCUUAUGUUAUGCAAGUUUUUGGAAAAAAAUUCUAGAAAUUUGUCUAGCUGUAUUUUAUUACAAAAAAGUAUUAUAAGGUUAUCAAAUUUAAACUUAAAGCGUAUUAAUAAGCAAUAAUCAUAAUUUAGUUCAAACNNNNNNNNNNNNAUUUAGAUAAAACAAAAGAAAUAAAUUAAUAAAUCGCCGGUGGAAUAUUUAAUUGUAUUUUAACUUAAACAAUACAAAUGAUUUAAUUUGUAUAUUUUAAAUUAAUAUUAAGUUUUAAAAAAUGUAUUUGUUCCUCUUAAGAAAUACAAUUAAUCACGCUCUCAUUACUUACCCUAACGGCGGAUUUCUAUCCACUAUUAAAUUAGAAUGCACCGUCGACUUAUACCUUGAUUCCGCCUCUGCUUAUUGGGUCUAAGUAUUAUAUAUAUGUGUUUAUCGGCUUUAAGUGUUAUAAAUAUAUGUUUAUCGGGUCUAAGUGUGAAAUAAUUGAACGCUUAAUAUUAUGAUAUUGGAUAUAUAUCAACUAAAGGUUUAGUAUUUUCAUAAACUUACUAUUUCUAUUUUUAAUGAUAGCAAUGCCCUAUCGAAAAUUAUAGCUCAUCGAGAUUCAUUUACGAACAAUAAAGAUACAUCAUGUUAGCAAUAGCAAGCGCAUGAAAAAUCAAAAGUAACACAUCAACUUUUACUAUAAUCUGGUGUUGCCCCACUGAAACUAAGUAAAUUAAAAUACAUUAUUGUAGAUAUUGUAACAUUAAAUUAGAUGAUUGAUUAUAAACAUUUAUGUUCUUUUGGUUUAUUAAGAUUGAACCUGAUAAUUAAAUUUUAAAAAGAUAAAACUUAUACGUGCCCGGCCAAGCCGGGUAAGAUGAUAGUUAGUUUGGAUUGGUUGUUUCAAAUGAGUUGGUUGUUUUAAGUAAGUUGGGUUAAAUGCGUUGAGUUUAGAAUAAUGUGAUAUGGCAUUGGAUGCCGUGGACAAGUUGGCAAUGGAUUCCUCCUCAUCAAGGCAAAACCGAGCAACAAGGGUCAGUCAAUAUCCACAUGAUGAUGCCAGAGACCUUGUCGCGUAGGAAGAAUGAAAUGAAGGAGACGCCAAAGGAAGAAUCGGAAAUUUUAACUUAAUAUUGAUUUAGUAUCCAGAGCACAUCUAUAAAUAACAGAUUUACAGAUGCCCUUCAUUCAAUAACAACCAUUACCAAACAGCACCCUCCCUUCCCCCUUUCUUUCUUCUUCGUCCGUUUUCUUUGCUGCCUAGAGCAAGCCACUUCGAGCAAGGAAGACUCGGAAGGUGACGGACAGAUUGCGAUAUGUCCAGCUACGUUGAUCUUUAAUGCCAACGCCAUUCGAACGUUCUUCCUACGGCCUCAGUCUUGAAGAGAUAUAAGAGAAUGUUCCCAUCACCACCACCAGCUUUGGAACUACCAUCAUCGAAAUAUGCAUUACAUGAACUCAUUCAGCGACAAACGAUGAAGAUCAUAUUGCAUUUUGUUCCUCGAGCUGCCUGGUUAUGAUUCUCACACAUCCAGAGCCAUGAUUAUCUAAUGACAUGCUUGUAGUUAUGUCUUAAGUGCGUUUGAUCAUUGCAUUCUAGAGAUCUGUUCAUUCAACAAACUGAAAUAAAUAAAUAAAUUAGUUAAUUGGUUGGUCUUAGCAUCUCUGUUGCAGCUUAUUCAGCCUUGCAACUUUCUCAGAUAUCCCAUCCAUAUUCAAGUUUCCAGCUUCAAAGAUUCAAAACUAAAUUUGAUUGUUUAGUAAAAGGACAAAUGCAGGAACCAAGCACAUAUUGAGCUGGAAAUUGGUGGGGUGCGCCAAGCCCUUGCAGCAGUGCAAAGCAUGGGCGACACAUGAGGAUUCCCUGCAGCAAGCUACAGAUGCAGAACCUCCCCCUACAAAAAUAAGAUCAAUAUCAUUGUAGAUCAAUGAUCCACAUAUCAGAUAUUAAACUGAUAAGAACAGAUACUACACUUGAUCUUAGCCAAAAGGCCGAGAAAGGUAUGAGCUUUCAGGUGUCAACAGCUGCUAUUUUGUUAGGCAUUAAAGGCACCCGGUGUGGUAACCUAUCUCGACGUAACAAUCAUGGAUAUACGGCAGUCAUAAGAGAAUCUGAUCCAGCUUUAUGUAAUGAAACUAGCUCCUGCAACAAUUUCUUCAAGCUCAACUGGUAGAGCUCUCUCUCAUGGCUUCUGUAGUUGCCAUCUGUUGCUUGUUCCAACUUUCAGAUUAAAGGCGUAUUUUUAAUGUAGUAUUUUCUCUGUCGAACGACAGUUCAGAAAUCGUCCUUCUGAUGAUUCUGUUCUGAAGAUCUGAUGAAGCUAAUAUUGGGGGGAAUGUAUCUGGAAGCAUCACAUCACAACAUCUACAUUGAGUUAACUUCCACAGAUAGCUAAUAGCUUCGUGGUAGGAUCAUGUACGAGCCUAUGAACUUCAAAAUAAGCUAAAUCCUACAUGAACCUGUUACAAUGACAGAAGAAUAUCAGAUGGAAUCAAUCGAAUUUUCCCACCUUGACAGCCAUUAUGACGUAAAUGAUGCCAUGAAGAAACUUCAUCAAGCAGCGAGACACUCUCGCACUCCACACUAUACUACUCACGAAUCAGCCUCCGGUUCUCAUCACAUGGAGCGAAAAAAGGGAAGGUUUUUAAGUCUGUGAGACAGCAUACACGACCAUCCGAGCCAAGUAUGUCAGCUCAGAACAAUCCUCUACAGCUUAGAAUGUUUCAAGAAACAAUCUAAGCCAUUAAUCACGCUCUAAUCGCGUGUCUGCCAUUCCAUCGAUAGCUUCAGGGUAUGAUAAUGCUCUCACCAGAACCACCAAACCUUCGAGCUUCGAGUUAGCAAAGAUGUGAGUUCUGUCCUAGAAUUUAAAAUUCUGAUGUUGGAAGAACAUGAAACAUGGAUGAAUGAUGAAUCAUCUGAGGAACUGGCACUUGAUUAGCCGCAUAAGGAGUUACAUGGAAAAGGACUGGAGUUCAUGUGGUUAUGGAAAUGUCCGGUGGAAACAUUACAGGAUAACAUCUACAUUGAGUAACCUUCCCCUUGUGGAUAGCUUCGGCAAACGAUUGAGCUCCGCGCUGCAAUCAUGGAAAUCAGGUACCCUACAUAAACUUGUUACAGCUCAAAAUAACAUUAGAUGAAUCGAGUCGAUAUCCUCGCUUUGAUAACCAGCAUUGUGUUCCGUCACUUCCAGCCAACAUGAACUUCGUCGAACAGUGACACCAUCUCGAACUCCAUACUAGCCGUACUCGGGCCUUCUACCAUCUCGAACUCUACAGAAUGAAGCAUAAAAAGAGGGGGAUUUCUACCAUCUCGAAGUCUGUCAGAAAGCCACGAAACCAUCUAGGCUGCCGGAGCAAGCCGAGAACGAUCAUCAUCUAAAGCCAUAGAUCAUCCAAGGACAAUCAACGCCGUUAAUCACGCUCUGAUCAAGUGGCCAUACACCAUCUCGAACUCCAUACUAGCCGUACUCGGGCCCUCUAUUCGUCCCGUCACUUCCAGCCAACACCAUCUCGAACUCUACAAAAUGAAGCAAAAAAAGAGAGAUUUUGAAGUCUGUCAGAAAGCCACAAGACCAUCCAGGCUGCCGGAGCAAGCCAAGAACGAUCAUCUACAGCCAUGGAUCAUCCGAGGACAAUCAAGGCCGUUAAUCACGCUCUGAUCAAGUGGUUAUAAAUCAUCCACCAGACUUGAGUUCUUGUCUCCUUAGUGCUAAAGGACACAGAGGUACGAUCCUAUAGAACAGAUCCUGUUCAAGUAAGGUCGUGCUAUGAAAUAUGAUCCCUGUAGUUUAUAUAGACAAGAGCUGUGUUCCUUUUCAGAGAUGUGGUAUUAAUGCACUGUUAUGUUGCUGCUGUUUUGGGCAUUAUUGUCAAGGCAAGAAUGCUGGAUUUGAAUGAUGGACAUACAUAUACAUUCAGAAGCAGAAUCUGUACAGAAACAAAGGAUUUCAAGCAAGAAGGGUGAUCUAGACCCAAGAAACAAAAAAGGGUUCAUAUGCCAUGUCUCACACGGCUUUCGCCAAAGGUUUUCAUGUUCGAUUGUGGACAAGAGCUGCAUGAUCGUUGUUUUCUCCAAUGUCUAAUCUCUCAUGUACAUGCAGCUCGAAUUCCUCGGUGUUGGAACUAAGCCAUCAUACACAAGUGCAAGAAGCCCUCGAAUUCGGUCUGCUCAAAUCUCUACUAAUACAACAGUGGGCUUGAUUCGAUUUUUCCAACUGUUCAAUUACUCAAACUGCUCGAGUCCAGGACGUCUCAUUUGCCCCCCAAAUAGGAGAAUACACAUGAAAGAGCGUCAAUUUCGUUAAUUUUUAUAGACCGAAUACUCAUAUGAACGUUCGAACUAACUUGAAAGUCCUCGAUACACAAGUGAAAAGAGCUCGAAUUGGUUGGCUUCAAAAGCCUCUUUUUGAACGAUGUGGUCUUUAAUGCGCUGUUCUGCUACAAACAAAACGUGGGCUUCGACUGUCAACAAAACAAGAGGUAGUAGUAUGACCUGCAAACGACAGAAUCUAGAACCUUAAGUAAAUGUUUCCAAACCUGACUGACCUAGAACUUGGCAAGUAACUUACUUAGACCCUUAACCAGAUACAAAACCAUAUUGAAGAUUGACUUUUCGAGGUUCGGGCAGAAUGAGUUGUUACAACUUACAACAACAUAUAACAGGUAAGUCACGAUUCAUUUUUAGCAGUGCUCGGCGCAGAAAUUUAACAGCGCUAUAAGUGGAUUAAUGACCAAGAGUGAUUAGCAAUAGCACCUGACCGAGGAAGAAAAGAGGUUCAAAUAGUGGUGAGUUAAGUUACUCGGAGCAAAAUCGUCAAACAAGCCAAAAACAGUUCAAGACAAGAAAAUGGUUAUUGGUGUACAUGGUAGUAAAUUCGUAAAAGUGUGAAUAUCCGUAGAACGCAUCCAAAAUAGACUUAUAGAUACCCUUUCCACCCAUUCAAAACAAAAAUGAAUACGAUAAUAAAUUCAUAACAAGUGUAAACGCCCGUUACAGUGUCACGAGCCUUAGUGUGUCCCCUGAAUCUCCACCCUGUAUUUCUCUACAUGGGAGGUAAUUUAAUAACCACAGUUAUGAAACACUAUCUUUCCUUAACCACCCUCCAUUGUCCAUGUUUGAGUUAGAAAGACUCCAAAGGUGACGGACAUAUUACGACAUUUCCUUCUACUUCGAUCUUUAAUACCAACGCCGUUCGAGCUUUUUUCCUACGGCCUCCAUCUUUUGAGUUACCAUCGUUGAAAUAUACAUUAAGGAUUGCGAUUUCUUCCUCAAGCUGCUUCUAUGAUUCUCAGUUCUCACUCAUUCACAGCCAUUAUCAUAUAGCAAUUUGUUCGACUCAGCUGGGUAGACCUCUCAACAGAAGCUAAAAAAUUUAACCAGAUUCAGAAACUAUCUAGAACGUUAGCUAAGACAGCACAUUGAACUGAGAAAUUUGGUAGGGGCCGCGCAAACGCAGGCUGCCACAGGAACAAAUUAUGAUGUAGGCUCUCCUACUUUGAGGAGAGGUUAGAGUGGCACCCCUCCGGUAUGUGCAAUGGAGGUCACCACUCUGGGCCAUGACUCUUAUUAAUCAGCCAUUGACCCCGUCCAGGUAACUAUGUUUCAACGUUGCUAUUCCUUUCUGUAUCCAAUCUGUGUUCCUUUAGCCAAUGUGGCAUUUUUGAACAAGAAUAACAGGAAUGCGAUCUUUUGGUUGUUGAGCAUCAAAGAUUUUAUACGUUUAGGCUUUUAACAUGUUUGAUUGUUACUUUAAGUAUAUCGUUCAGACUUCAGUAAGCUCUACUAUGCCUUCCCUCUAAGUCUUGAGCACGUUUCUUGUAAUGCAGAGAGCCAAAUGAAGAUUUUUGGCAAACAAUGUUGAUAAUUAUCAGCGACCAGAGAUCAUGCUUAAUGAAUGUGAUCUCUGAUUCUAUAAUGCAGCCUUAGAAUCCAUUCUUACGGAGUAGUUGUCGGGACGAAAAGCCGAUGCGGAUUAGAGAUUAGGCGUCAACUUGGGAUGAGGAGAUGAAUUUAACCAGCUAGCAGAAAGUUUUAUGUGAGAAGAGAGACGGGAUCUAGCACCUUAGAGGGAACCAAGCCUGCAGUAAAUGCAGCAAAAAAGGGGUUAAAUCUGUCAGACAUCAUACAUGGCCAUCCGAGCUAACGAUGUCAACUCAGAAUGAUCAUCUACGGUCUGAAUGAUCCAAAGACCAUCGAAGCCGUUAAAUAUAGUUUCAAAUGGAAGAUUUUUGGCAGUUACGUAGACCAAGAUGUUUCCUCAGGGUUUAUGCAUGCAGGUUUGGAGUGCAUCUGAAUGCUAGCUCCAAAUAUGGAUUUCUGCAGGUUGGAGCUUAAUUUCCUUGAAAUGGAAGAAGCUGAAAAGAAGUAAAAAUAGAAAGGUCUGGGACUCUAAAGAUCGUUGGUGAAAUAGGGUACAAAGACUGAACUCAAGCCUGGGUUUUGAAAUUUGAACUUAGAGAUUGUGGUGCUGAUCCAGUUAACGAACAAAACCUCCAGUAACAAGGCUCGGUUUUCAUAUCGAAUAUCUGAAUUGAUACAAGAGUUCACUGAAAGUCUGAAACUCAAAAACAGUGCACAAUUGCAAGGCUAGCUGAUGCGCGAAAACAGGUCCAGCAAUGUCAGCCAGAACUCGUCAAAACAUUUAGACUACCAGAUUGUGGGGCGGAUCCAGUUAAGGAACAAACCAUCUAAAAAUAGAUGAAUGCCUCUUAAAAGCAGAGCACGAAAGAAUAGUUCGCUAUGUACUCACUGCGAGGCUGAUUGAGAAACAUGCCUUUUAUGCUUUUAACUUGAAGGCUGGGAUGUCAUCAAAUCACCAAGGAUGGAACAUUAUCAGUCAUCGAAGUUGAAUUUCUGCAUUUGCAAAAGAACCACUGUAGUCAGGUCACCAGUUGAUGUGAUUAUUGUUUACAUAUUUAUUAAUGUGUUCGAGUUCAGUAGACGGAAGAGUAAGUAGGUAAACAAUUGAAAAUUGAAAAGUUUACAACUGGGGGAAUUGUAGGGCUUUACCCAGGAGGGAGCCCUUCCAGAAAUUCUCGAAGGCCACAGACAAGCCGCGGCCUAGGAGGGGGUUUGGAAAUAGUUUUCAACCAGCAAUAGACGCGCCUCGGUUGUUACCUCAUUAGCUGCGUCAUUGCCCCAAGCGCAAAGAUGCUUUCCUCUGACUGCUGAACCUUGAUUUUAUACACCUGCUUCCUUACUCUCGCAUGAGUUUCCCAGAUGUGGUAUAUCUAUCUGGAGCCCAAUAGGUUACUCCCAUUGCAGGCAAAAGAAAGGAAAAUCGUUCUACACUACAUUUGACAAUAUAACGUUAGUAGUCCAGUUGUAAGGUAUAGUCUUAUGCAGAGCCCAUCCAGAACAAAUUUACAUAUACUAUUUGCACCCAUUCAAACCAAAACGAAUAUGGUAAUAACUUCAUUGUAACAAGUGUGAACGCCCGUUACAGUGUCACGAGCCUCACGCUUGUCGUCCCCGAAUCUCCACCUCGAAUCUGUCUAAUUCAAAGAUUACAAUUAUGAAACACUGUCUUUCAUUAACCACCCUCCCUUCCCCCUUUCUUCUCUGUCCAUUUUCGGGCAAGAAAGACUCCAAAGAUUACAAACAAAUUACGAUAUUUUCCAGCUACGUUGAUCUUUAAUACCAACGCCAUUCGAGCUUUCGUCCUACUUCCUCCUUUUGGAAGAGAUAUGUUCGAUACAUACUAUAUAAUAAGACAAUGUUAUCAUCACCACCACCAACUUUCGAGCUUAAUCCGGUUACCGUCGUGGAAAUGUACAUGAACCCGUUCAACGAAAAAUGAACAUCAGAUUUAAUUUCUUCCUCGAGCUGUGCCUAUGAUUCUGGCUUCUUAGCCACCUGCAACAACUUCUUCACCUCACCUGGGUAGACCUCGAACCCUAAGUCAUGACUCCAAUGCACAUACAAAAGAGAUCAAAGUGUUACAAGAUCAAAACUAGCUCUAAGUUCUGUGAAGACUACAAUAUUGAACUGAAAAAUUGGGUAGGGGCCGCGCGAACGCAGGCCCCCGCUGCAACAAAUUAUGACGUAGGCUCUCCUACUUUGAGGAGACCUUAGAGUGGCACCCUUCCAGUAUGUGCAAUGGAGGUCACCACUCUAGGCCAUGACUCUUUAUGAUCAGCCAUUGACCCCGUCCAGGUAAGUAUGUUUCAACGUUGCUUUGCCUUAUGUCUUUAUACCCAGGACGACUCCAUUCUGUGCACUAGCUGCCAGUGCGGUAUAUUGUUCUAAUGCAUAUUCUAAGCUUCAGUUCUGUAAGCUUCUGUUAUGUCUUGUCUCUAAGUCUUAACACAUUUUCUUCUAAUGCAGAUUGUCAUCCUUGGCUGAGAAACACAAACAGUACCUAGCGCUCACAUUGAAAUCGAAGAGCCAAGUCAAGAAUUUGGGCAAACAAUGUUGAUGCACAGCGUGAAGAAAAAUAGCAAGCAGCCGUCAUGCUUAAUGAAUGUGAUCUCUGAUUCUAUGCUGCAGCCUUAGAAUCCAUUCUUACGGAGUAGUUAUUGGGAUUGGAGAUCAGGCAUCAACUUGGGAUGAGGAUUACAAACAGCGGAAUAGAACCAGCUAGCUGCAGAAACGUUUAUGUGAGAAGAGAGACGGAAUCUCGCACCUUAAUGAAGGUACGAUAAUGUUUUCACCACCAACAAGAUUCGAGCUAGUCGUCGUGGAAAUAGGACUUUCAUACAUGAAUCUGUUCAAGGGACAAAAAAAAUCAGAAUGCAGUUUCUUCCCUUUAUCCUGCUUAAAAUAAGUAUGAUUCUCUCCAGUUGACACCCAGCUUCUGCAACAAUUUCUUCAAACUCAACUGGUACAGCUCUCAUGGCUUUUUAACCAUGUAGUUGCUAUCUGUUUGUUUGUUUGCUUGUUUGUGCGGAAGUGUGUGUUCAACUUUCAGAUAGCUGUCCCUCAUCUAGACGAGUUAACACUUCCACGGAUUGGUUCAUCGUAGGACCAUGUACGAGCUACAAACUUGGAAAUAAGCUCAAUCGUACACUAACCUGUUACAUGACAGAAGAAUAUCAGAUGGAAGCAAUGCUAUGACGAAACUUCAUGAUACUCAGCCUCCGGUUCGUGACAUGAAGUAAAACAUUAAUUAGCCACAACAAGACCAUCCAGGCUGCCGAAGCAAGCCAAGAACAAUCAUAUACAACUGUGAUCAUCCAAAGACAACAAAGGCCAUUAAUCACGCUCUGAUCGAAUGGUCACAUUUCAUCCAUCAAACUCGAGUUCCUGUCUCCUUAGUACUAAAAGGACACAGAGGUACAAUCCUAUAGAACAGAUACUCUUCAAGUAAGGUCAUAAUGGGAAGAAGUACAGUUCUAUAGGACAAAUCCUGUUAAAUUAAGGUUAUAACGGGAAGUACGAUUCUCGAUUACAUCUCCUCUUUUCAAGUAGGAAAGGUGAUCGAGGUUCGAGACUCAAGAACAAAAGGACUCAUAUGACGAAUUUGGGGUGGGCAACCCCCGAAACGAUGAAACUCUAUGUAUAGUUCUCGAAAUUGAAGGUUUUUGUAUUAGUGGACUCUUCCUCUUGAAAUCUCCGUCCGACAAUUUUAUUCCGCCAUCGUCGAUGCUACACCAAUCCAUACAGGACGUACACCUUGGUUUCUUUUGUCCUUAAGCUGAACUUAGGCUGCUACAAUGCUUGUACCCAGUGUCUUUGUUUGGAAAUUCUUCAGCUGCAGAUUUCAGCCCUUUCGAUCCGAUCAACUGUUAACUGCUUGAUGUGUGCUAUAAAGUGUCUCUUCGUGGAGCUGUCCAGGCCAGAAACAGAAACUUUAAAUAAGUUUCGAGUGCCCUCUGCACCACCCAACAAAUUAAAUGCGGAAAUGAAGAUAACAAUAUGGACCAGUACGUACAACCACCACAAUCUCGUUGAUAUAUUUUCAGACUCCCUCGCUGUAACCCUUCAUCUGCCUUGGGAUUUAUUACAUUGUUUUUCCCAUCCUUAAUCUUAAUCACACAAACACGUCACAAUACAAUAACCCAAACAUAACAGAGACAUCAAUUCUAAAGAAAUAAAUAAAACUCGAACAAAGAAGUCUGACAAUAGAAAAUUAAUACUCUCGUGAUCACUCAGUAAUUAGCACGGACAUCGUUUCAUCAGGUGCAUGUGAAUUAUGGAGUCUAUGAAGAAACCAUGUCACAUAAGAGAGUCGGAGAAAAACGUGUUGGAGAUAAUUAUACUAAAGCAAAUUAUGAGCUAUCGGAUUAUGUUCUCUCCCCCAGAGUGUUUUUCAUUUUAUUUAUUAUUGACCAUAUUGGUCUUUAUAGUCUUUUUAUAGAUUCUACAGUUGAUUCUUGAGUCGUUUGGGUUUUCUAGGUCUUUCUCUUCCAUGUAUGACAACCUUGUAGGAAUAUAUUGGUGAAAUUAAUGAUUCAACCGUAAUUAUAUAAGGUGGUUUGUAAAAUCAUUGAUCUAAUUUGUCAUUUCUCUACUCCAUAUUUUGAAAUUUCAUGACAGUUCUCAGAUUCUUUCCAUCUCUGAAAAAAUGUAUAACUUCCUCAAAUUUACAACUACAAAAUUUCCAAAAAAUCUAACGAUCAUAAAUCAAAGGUUCAAUGACUUUUUCUUUGUCAAAGAUAUCAAAUCAUGAUAUUCAAAAAGAGAAAAUAGUUACUGAGGAGAAUACAGUAGCGUAAUUGUAAAGCAUAUAACUCUAACAAGAAUCAAGAAUUACCAAAAAGAUCCUUUAACUUAACUUAUGUUACACUUAUAAAAAAAACUUCUUAUGUUACAAAUUCAUCCUUCUUCCCCAAAUAUUUCACGGAAAACCCCUAUCUUCGUGGGGGAGGUGUUGGGUGGGGGGUAGGGGCUCAAACACUAAAUUUCUACCUUCCUUUUCAAAACUUUAUCACCUUCAAAUGUUUAAAUUACUUAAUUAAUCGAACAUUCAUCUACCAAAGUUUAGAAAAAAUUUCAAAUAACUUCCAAUAAUCUCCGAUAAAUUUUCGUUGAUCUGGAGUAAUAAUUGGAAUUCGAAACUUGACUGCCGGCUCAAUUUCAUCUCUACGUUAAGUAUGUAAAAAGAGGUCACACCAUGGGUACCCAUUUCCUCGAUUACUAGUUAUAUUCCUUUCUAUUCAUUAAAUUGUUUUCGAGUUGUAAAAAAAUAAUCAUUUGUGCAUAUCCCGUUUCAAUUUUAUCUAAUAUAGGUGUCCUAAUUCUGAUCCACUCUCCACAAUUUUAAAAAUGGUUUGCCGGGAAUAAAAAUUCCAUUUUCUGAUGGGUUCUUUAAAAAAAUAUUGAAACAUGUUAAUAACGUCACGAUUAGAAAUAAAAGAUGACAAUUCCGUGUCGGAAAGUGGUUCGCUGGAGAGGGGGAAAAAUAUGAUAAAUGCGGGAACAAAAGAUUUUGCAACCGUCGACCGGAAGAAGUUAGAAAUGUGAAAAACGGAAAGAAAAAAAAAGGAAUCGAGACAGCAACCGCCCCGACCACACUAAGCCCGCAAUCGUGUCCAAAAGCAAGUAUAAAUAGCGGGCUGGCUGGCGGGCGGGUCACGGUCCAUCUUAUUCAAGUCAAAGCUCCUAGAAACCGAUGACCAACCAAUCCGACACCACUUCUGACCCAAUCCCACAUUUAAAUGUCAAACAAUAACCAUGACUGCCACCAAAAUUAAAUAAAUAAACAAUUAAAUCUCUUCUAUUUAAGAAAUGGGAAAAUCGCAUUUUGUCGUUCUGCGACACUGCCACAUCAUUUCUUCCAAUCGCUAGCUGUUUUUUCCACUCAUUCUCUCUCCCCCACCACAUUGAAAUAAAUCGAUAGCAAGCAUACUCAGAGCUCUGCUUCCGCUGCCGCCGUCAGACAGCCGUCUCUUACCGGCUCCUCUCCGUUUCUUUUAACUUCCCCUUCUCUCCCUUCUACCGUUAUUAUCGCUAACGGUCGCUCUCUUCUUCUUCUUCUUCUUCUUCACCAAAACCAUGUCCUUCUUCUUCAUUCUUCCUUAUUUGUUUUCUUUCCUUUUCUUCCUCCUCCUCAUUGAACAGAUCUCCUACCUCCUCAAGAAACGGCACCUCCCCGGCCCGACUUUAGUCUUCCCUUUCCUCGGCAGCGCUAUCUCUCUCGUCUCCGAUCCCACCAAAUUCUGGGACGCUCAAUCCUCCCUCAGUGCCUCCCUCGGCUUCUCCGCCAACUACCUCGUCGGCAAUUUCAUCCUCUACAUCCGCGACUCCGACAUCUCCCAACUCGUUUUCUCCAAUGUCCGCCCCGACGCUUUCAAACUCGUCGGCCAUCCCUUUGGCAAGAAGCUAUUCGGCGAGCACAAUUUGAUUUACAUGUUCGGCCAGGAUCAUAAGGACAUCCGCCGUCAGAUUGCUCCCAAUUUCACUCCUCGUGCUCUCUCCACCUACACCUCCUUACAGCAGAUCAUCAUCCUCAAGCAUUUGAAGCAAUGGGAGAAGCUAUGCUCCGACGACCCCACCCGAACCAUCUCCCUCCGUUUUCUUGCAAGGGAUAUGAACCUCGAGACCUCUCAGACUGUCUUCGUCGGGCCGUAUCUAACUCAGGAGGCUAGGAUUAGGUUUAAGGAGGAUUAUAAUCUGUUCAAUGUCGGCUCCAUGAGCCUCCCCUUUGACCUCCCUGGCUUCGCCUUUCGGAAAGCGAUUCGAGCCGUUGACCGCCUUGCCGCCACGCUGGCCGAAUCCACGAAGCAGUGUAAGCAGAGGAUAGGGAAAGGUGAGGAGGAGCCGACUUGCUUGGUGGAUUUCUGGAUGCAGGAGACUCUGAGAGAAAUAGCGGAGGCGAAAGCUGCCGGAAAGCCAGAGCCGUCUCAUACCAGUGACACCGAAAUCGGAGGCUUUUUAUUCGAUUUCCUCUUUGCUGCUCAGGACGCGUCGACUUCGUCAAUUCUAUGGGCGAUUACGCUGCUGGAUUCGCAUCCGGAGGUGCUGGCAAAAGUGCGGGCUGAAGUGGAAGGCGUGUGGUCGCCUGAAUCGGACGCGCUAAUCACGGCGGAGCAGUUACGAGAGAUGAAGUACACGCAUAUGGUGGCGCGUGAAGUGAUAAGGUUCAGGCCUCCUGCAACGCUGGUCCCACACAUGGCGAUGAGGGACUUUCCGUUGACGGAGUCGUACACUGUACCCAAGGGGACGAUCGUUUUCCCGUCGGUAUACGACAGCUCGUUCCAAGGGUUCACGGAAGCAGGUCGGUUCGACCCGGAGCGGUUCUCGGAGGAGAGGAAGGAGGAGCAGAUUUACAAGAAGAACUUUCUGGCGUUUGGAGCCGGGUCGCAUCAGUGUGUGGGACAGAGGUAUGCUCUGAACCAUCUGGUUCUGUUCAUCGCAUUAUUCAGCACGUUGCUGGAUUGCAAGAGGAUGAGAACGGACGGCUGCGAUGACAUCGUUUACAACCCCACGAUCUGUCCGAAGGAUGGGUGCACUGUCACGCUGUCGAAGCGGUGUGCAAUGUAUCCGAAGCUGUCGUUAAGUUGAAAUCCAGACAGACAGUAAAAGGCAUCUGCUUGGCGAAUGGCGAUAUGAUUGUCUCUGAUUGCUGGUGUGUUUCAGUGUCAUGAAAUCAUGAAUGCAUGUUGAUUUUUAUCAUUAUUGGUCAGUUGGGUCAUCCCCGUGCCUCUGUGUUACUUUCUUUGUCCCGGAUGAUUGAAUUCUUUUUUUCACAAAUAUUGUUACGUGGGAGCUUUGGGAUUGGUGUUUGGUGGAUAAUUGGGAUUUAUUUUGUAUUGUGGAACCUCAAACUCUCUCAAUAAUCAUCUUAUGGUGGAUAAUUUCUACCUUUUUAAUAUUAUUAUUUUGUCAUUAUUUGAGUUAUGUUAUGUUUGGUAAUUGAAAUUAAGAUUUCUAAAAAAAUUAAAUUGAAAUAAUAUAAAAUAAUUAAAAUCAAAAUCGAAUUCUCUUAUUUAAUUAAUAUAUCAAAUGACUUUCGAAACGCUUUAAACACCAAAUACUUAGGCAUCGUUUUCCACUUCAAUUUUCUAAAUAAGGGGAAAUUUAAAAUUCGUUGAAAUUAAAAUUGAGUGGAUUUAAAACAAAAAAAAUGACCGAAAAGUCCCUGCAAACCCUACCCUUAUCUAUCAUCAUUGUCUUCCACCUUCUUCAUCUCCCAAAAAAUCACAGAUGACAGCAACCAGUCGUUGGAAAUCGAAAUCAUCUUCGUCCAUUAAACGCAGAAUCCUACAAAAUCAGAUAGUAUCAACUACAAAAACAUUGCAAAACUCUACUGUAGUCAUAUUCGAAUAAAGUGAAGGAUACUUACGUGGUCGAUGAAAUCGAGGAAGAUGAGUGACGACUACUGCACUCAAGAACGACGACGACCAGAAGAUACAAGAUGAGAUCGACCCCGUGCAAAAUGAGUGGGAUUUGGAUAAUCCGUCUUGUUCUAAUGGGAUUGGGAAAGUCCGUUUAGAAUAGAAAUUGGGCUUGUCCGAUUUUGUAAUAUCUACGAUUUUAGUCCUCAAAUUUCAAACGGAAAACAUGGAUUUGAUCUCGCGCGUGGGAUUUGACCAAUUUACAGGCCCAAUUCCAAAGCGAAAAACAAUGCCUCAAGCAAGAGAGUCGAGGUUAUGACUAGAAAAUUAAAAAACUUAUUAAAUUUUGACAUAAGAAUCUGUUUGGAUGAACCAAUUGAUGGAUGUCUGGUCCAUACUACAAGUUCAUAACCCAAUUUCUACCAGGGCCACCCAAAUCGAUGCUCGGUGUCCACUCUAGCACCGUCAGGACAGUUUCAACAAAAAAAUUGUAUGUAAUGGUUUUUCUACAUAAAAUGAUCCGGUGGAGGUUUAGGACAUUUUCGUUCCAAAAUUUUAACAAUUGUUAAAAUAAUAUGAAGGGUGAGAUGAGAUUUAAAUAACAUUUAUUAAGGAGUUAUAUGGACGUGAUAAAUUAGAAAGUUUUUUAAUUUAAAAAAUUAAUUAACAAUGUCACAUAACUAAAUAGAUUACAUUUUAAGAAAAAAUAUUUAUGGUUAGAAUUUAUAUUAUAAAUGAUUUAUUACUAUUGAUGGAAAAGUAUUGUUAAGAAAUAUAUAAAUGAUGAAUAGAAAUUGCUAACCAAAUUAAGGAUGGAGGUAAUUGAAAAUUGUUCGUUAAAUAAAUUACUAAACUUAAUAGUUAAUGUGAACAUAAUUAGAAAUUUAUAAAUUAAUUUUAAAAUAAAGAUGACCUUAUGAAGUCAUCAUUAAAUCCUUAAAGACAUCUGUGACAAAGUGUGUAAUGAUAUUGGAGAUUAAUUUCCGUGUUCAUCUUCAAUCAUGACCGAAGCAAAGAGGCUUCUCAUGGCAACGAAAUUUGUUGAAGAUUUUGGUUUGCACAUAAUUAUUAAGUUGGAUUGCCUGUCCUCAUCCAUGCUACCACAGGUCGACUCACAUCAUGGCCUUGUCAUUAGUAUGCUUGAAAUUACCGUAUAAAUAGGUUUGGCAUUGGCUAAGCCCGCGCUGGUUAUCCGUGGGUUUUAUCCGCAAAAUGGGUUUUUUUGAUCCGUUGACCAGGCCCAUUGACGGACACCGGGCGACUCGAAAUCCGUUUGAUCCGGUUAGUAGGUGGUGUUGGAUCCAAUGCUAUCAGCCCUGAGACCCACCCGACGGAAAAUUCGUUAAAAAAACAACGCAAUUUUGAUUUUAAUAUAUAAGUCUAUCCGCGUCUUUAAUAAUUUUCAGACCUAGCGGCCGCCAUCACAAAUCCAUUUUCUCUCAAACCCAAACCCUAAAUUUUUCUGAUUUCUUUCGAUUCUCUCAUUCCCAACCUCGACAAUUCCCUUAAGUUGCUCUUCACUGAAAAAUCCUCCAAAUUCCCAGCCUAUUUCACUGUCUCCCCAUGUAUUUCAUUAAAUCCGCACUUGUUUUCAUCCAAUUAGAUCCAAGAUACAAUGACUCGGUCCGCCGAUUUCGUGGAUUACACCUCUCAAAACAGAGAUUUAGUUGAUUAGGGUUCAUAUCUCCCUCCGAAUCGUUGAUUACAAUCACAUAUGAGAUAACUUCAUUGAACUUGGUUGAUUCCUUCCUUUCUCUUUCCAAGUACUUAUUUAUUGUCUUCUUUUAUUUUGACCGUUAAUCUUCUUCUUUGUAAUGUGCAUGUACAAGUGAUAUUGUUGUGGAGGCUAUGGAAGGAGUAUUCUCUGCUAUAUCCGUUCAAGAUUUUGUCAUCGAAGAACCCGCUAUUGUGGGUAAGGAAUAUAAUGUUAGGAUUCAAUUAUUUAAUGAUAUAUGUAACUGUUAAGUGUUAACUAUUUAACUGAUUAAAAACAUAAAAUUAGGAUCAAUAACGAUGUUUAUCAAGUCAUCAUUCAGCUUAGAGGACUGACUAGCAAAGCAAGGCAGCAACAUUGUUUAUCAAGAUAUGAACUUGUUGUAGUUUUUGAUAAUCAAAUCUAUUCUAUAAUUCUGUACUUCAAUUUUUGAAAUUUGAUUUUUACCGAUCAUUUGUAGGAUUAUGAAUUCUGAUUAUUGUUCUUGGAUUAUUCUAAUUCUUCAUUAAUCUGAUUGUUGUUGCUUCUUGUAAAUUGGAUGUUGGAUCGGACACUGAAGUCUAGAAGAGUGGUGUUUUAUGAGUUUAUCUAUUAUUCCGUUGAGCAAGCCUAAAUUUUACAAUUUUCUGUUUGUCGAACAGUUUGGAAUUCUGUUGGUAGAUGCCGAAUAUGAGUAACAUCCUACUCAUGUCUGAAGUAAAAGUACUAUUAAAAAGUUUUAUUAUUGCCUUCUGAAAAAGUAUGAAGUUUUAAGUUUGAAUUGAAUUGAAUCAUCUUAAAGUUUUUGUCUGUCAUAUACUAUCAUAGUAUUAUCGUUUGUACAAUUGCAAUUUUUGAGCAUUUAUUUUCAGUUGUACGUGGGUUGAUGGGGAUCUGUGGGUAUCUGAUAUCCGUUACCGGUCGAUAAUGAAUUGCACCUGAACCCCCGAUCCGUCCGAAUGCCAAGCAUACAUAUAAGAGAAAAUUAUUGCUCAAUUCGACUCAAUUACUUUUCCAUUGUCCCUAGAAGUCUUAAUAAUAUGACCGAUUUAGUUACAAAAUCUUGACGGGCUAGUUUGUUACCUCCUAAUCGGACCCAUAACCUUAUGAAUUUUUUUUCUUUUGAAUGGCUUGUUUGAUUAUGAAUCAAUUGAGAUUUGUUUUAAAAAAAAUUAAAAGGUAUUUAGAAUUAACUACAGAAGUUGUUCUUAAAAUUCUCAGAAAUAAAAUAUUGAUUGGCUUACGUGCGAAGGAAAAUGGCUAGAUAAAAAAGAACAAAAUAAAUAAAUAAUAGGGAAAAAGGAAGUCUAACGAAACCCUCUCUUUUUCUCGACUCUUGAACCAAAAUGACCGGAGAAGGAGAAGGCAGGGGCCUCGUUGCCGCCGGCGAAAAUCCUGAUAAACCAUACUACUACGGAACCUUUCAAGGCGUCGCAAAUUACUAUCAGCCGCCUCCUCCUCCUCCUCCG
rnacentral:lncRNA from 1 species